rnacentral:lncRNA from 1 species
AGCACGGUAGCGCGUGCCUGUCACUCCAGCUUCAGGAGGGCUAAAGAGUGGGUGGGAAGGGAUGUGUGCGUUAGAGCCCAUGUCAGAGUCAGCUCGCCGAAAGGCAUGUGGUGCCCGGCCCACCAGAGACGCCAGACGAAGCGCGGCGCAGAAGACCAGCUGUUGAUGAGAUCCUGGCCCGUCCAAGUUGGCCAAGUUGCGGUAGUUUGGGUGCAGGCACUGAGCCAGUGGUGCCAGGCUUGUGACCCGGUUUGAGGCCCGUCAGAGAUUGGGCGCUCGUUGGACCGUUGACCUGUGAGGAGGCCGGUCGUUGACGCACUUGUUGGGCCGUGAGGAGGGCAGGCCACCAGAGACUGGUGAAAGCAGUAAUGUUGGCGCGCGCUAGUCGGGCCUUAGCCGAGGAGAUUGCCGGCGGGCCGUUGUUGUGGUCGAGGUGCACAUGUGGACUCUCUGUGGGGGGUUGAUGGGCUGUCGAUUAGGGAGCAGGCUUCGGCCCCGGUAGGCCGGCAGACCCGCCGGCGGGCAAUUUAGGUUGGGGUCCGCCCCCAGCCUGGAGCCCGUAUACGCCGCGCGGGGCUUCCACGGAGUCGGGCGGGGCAAGUUGCUGCGCAUUCGAUGCGCGCUUGGUCGUUGUCGCCGCCGGGCUGUGCGCGCCACACGCGCAGCCCGCUUCGUGGAGCAUUGGCUUGCAUACUAUCCCCUCCUACCCACUCUUUUGUUUUUUUUUAUUUUUUUCCUUUUAAUGUGUCCGCAAAAUUUUUGCUUUUUAUUUUUUUUGUACUGAACGAUGCAAGCAAACAUCGUGCACGAAUCUUAAUUGUACACACGGUGCAAUAUGUAGGUGGGGAAAAAACGGAGUUUGGUGGUGGCUUGCGCGUGGACCGUGGGAGACUCAAGCCACUAUGGAUUUGGCUUUGAACUCAACUCGGGUGUCGUCAAAUGGAUAGGAGAGUGCAGCCCUGGACAGCAUGCUUACUGCAGGUCUCAGAGGAUCAAGGGCCACGCUCGCCAGUUUCCUUGCGAGGGAGUUAUUUACGCUGAUCCCUCUGUAUGUCAGUUUGGCGUCAAAGACGAGAGAAAAAACAUAAGGGCUGGACGGUAACUUUCUCGGAUUUGGCCCAUGUAAGAUUUAUGCGUGCUCCGCGGCCUGGAAAACUAAAAGGCCCAUAUACAUGUAGCCCGUUAGAUGCCAAUGGGCUCGGACUGAACGUUCAAAGGCCAGAAGCCCGUCCGAGAUAGUAGGUAAGCCUGCUUCGCGCGGUUGCGGGAAAGACUCGUCUGCUGUGCGCAGAGGCAGCAUUGUGCUACGCUGCCGACGUUCGUCUCGACUCUCGAUCUCUCGUCAUCCUUCAGGCGAUACCCGAUCAUGAUCGGCUGGUGAUUACUGAAUUAUUUUCUAAAUCCGAAUUGCAUGAGAAAGUAAAACUCGCACAACAUACUAUCGUCUAAAAGGAAAAAGUAAAAAUAGUACAACAAGGGGGCCUAGUGACACAUAAGAUGAACCAGACAGUGAACCAGCAGCCAGGUGCGAAGUGUAGGAGGACAACGCUUACAUGUAAACAGCGGCAUGCAGAAGAGGGCAGAGAAGAUAAGCAAUCACACGAAAAGAGGUCCGGUCAGUGCUCAACAAACGACGCUCCCCAUUUAGUCCCGUACUGCUAAUCACAGCCAGGACGAGCCAGCUUAAAAUGGCACGCAUCCCGAGCUGCAACCACCAGGCCCGGUGGCGCGAGCCUGUUACUCCAGCCUCGGAGGGCAAAAGAGUUUGAUGCAGCGACAAGACUCACGGCCCAGCUAUCGGUCCUGGGUUUCUGGGUUGUGAGCUCGAGCCUUAGCUCAAAGCCGUGGAGUUGUCUGACCAGGGGCCCAUUUAAAUUUGAGACGGCUUUGGCCCGGGGAGCUCGCCCAUAAAGCGAUGGGCUGGCCGAGAUUUCACUCGGCGGUCAUUGUCGACUAUCUCCCCGGGUUUCCAUACGGUGCUCACGGGAUAUUUAAAUCCUUGAUUUUAGGCCCCAUGAUGAUGAUUAUGUGUGGCUAAGGUUUAAUGGGGGCCUCCGUGUGGUUGCUAUGGGUUCGCUCAUAAACCCCUCUCAUCAACUCUUUUUUUUCCUUCUUUUAUGAUCCAUUCAUCCAUCCAGAUUUAGGGGGUGUUUGGCAGCACUCCACUCAAAAAAAAUCAUCCAUCCAGAUUUAGGGGGUGUUUGGCAGCACUCCACUCAAAAAAUUUUAUGAUCCAUUCAUCCAUCCAGAUUUAGGGGGUGUUUGGCAGCACUCCACUCAAAAAAAAUUUUAUGAUCCAUUCAUCCAUCCAGAUUUAGGGGGUGUUUGGCAGCACUCCACUCAAAAAAAAUCAUCCAUCCAGAUUUAGGGGGUGUUUGGCAGCACUCCACUCAAAAAAUUUUAUGAUCCAUUCAUCCAUCCAGAUUUAGGGGGUGUUUGGCAGCACUCCACUCAAAAAAAAUUUUAUGAUCCAUUCAUCCAUCCAGAUUUAGGGGGUGUUUGGCAGCACUCCACUCCAAAUUUUUGAGCUCCACUCCACCGACUCCAAAAAAAUACCAGAGCUGUCCACAUGUUUGGCAAAAUGCAUAGAUCCAGCUCCGGAAAUAGAAGAUCUUGAUGUGUAAAGUCCAUUAUACCCAUGUGAAUGGGUCCCACUUGUCUGUCCUUUAGUUCUCCCCUUCUUCUCCUGUGCUGGUUGGGAUCGAUUUUCUUCAUUCGAGCAGGCAGGCCGCGCAGGACCGGCGGGCGGCGCAGGGGCGGGCGGGCGGCGCGGGCCGCGGCGGGUGAGGGCGGGCGGCGCAGGGCGUGGGGCGCGGCGGGUAGGGGCGGGCGGCACGCGGCGGCGCGCGGCGGGCAGGGGCGGGCGGCGCGCGACGGGUGAGGAGCGGUGGCGGGCGGCGGCGCCGGGCGCGACGAGCGGGAGCGGCACGGCAGGCAUAGCCGGCCGGCGCGACGGGAGCCUUUUUUUUAUUUCGCGAACCGUUACGUUGUGUAACGAGUGGCAGUGGUGGGUAAAUACCCACCAACUCCACGAGGAGGUCUGUAAAGUGGAUUUUUGGAGCACCUCUUGAGGUACUCCACAAAAAACGUGGAUCUACCCCCUGCUCCACCUUUUUUCCUGGAGCCGGAGUUGCUGGAGCUAGACAUGUUUGGCUGCGAAAUUUUUGGAGUUGGUGGAGUGGAGCAAUUUUUCGUGAAGUGGAGUGCUCCCAAAUACCCCCUUAGUCGUGACUAAAAUUCAUGUCACAUCGAAUAUUCGGAGGCUAACUAGGAGGACUAAACAUGAGCUAAUUAUAAAACUAAUUAUAUAGAUGGAGACUAAUUCACGAGACGAAUCUAUUAAGCCUAAUUAAUCCAUCAUUAACACAUGUUUACUGUAGCAUCACAUUAUCAAAUCAUGAACUAAUUAGGCUUAAUAGAUUCAUCUCACAAAUUAGUCUCCAUCUGUGCAAUUAGUUUUGUAAUUAGUAUCUAAAUAUUCGAUGUGACAGGAAUUUUAGGAGGUGCUAAAUAAACAACCACUCCCUUAGGAUGAUCUCGCCACAGGUAUAUAACAAGUAAUUAGCCGUAUGUGCAUGCGUGUGCAACCUGCAGCUGCCGGGAGGUGAGUCCACGAUCAUGCGGCUCGGGAGAGAAGGAAGAACUUCAGCGCAAAAAAGAAAAGUUUGGUAAGGGUAUUUUGCGCGUGGAGAAACUCUAGAACUAGGCUUCGGCUAAUGUGUUACAUUAGCAACGACCGCUAAGGGAGAGGGAAGAUGUCAUAUUUUCUCGCUGUCAGGAGCUCCACAACACACUGAACCCUAGCUCCCCAAGCUCUGCCCUUUGGAGAUGGAGUCAUAGGGCGAGUUCCUUUUGACAGGGAGUGUGUGUUUAUGUUGGUCCUUCUGCAGUUUACUUAUCAGUUUGGCAUCAAACUAUUAAAGACUAUGUGGGUAAGGGAAACCCAGUAAACUUUCUUAGGCUUGUCUCGUUGCGCGUUCUUCGGCCCGUAAAACCCAUAAAAAAAACCUGUGUAGAUAGCUCAUUACGUGCAAUAGGUUCGAAUUGGGAGGAAUUGUACGUGGGAUCUGGGCCAUGCGCGCUCGUGCUCAUCAGUCAUCAGCAAGUCGUCGUCGUCGUCGCCACCGCCACUGCAUCGCAAGACUUCUCAGGCGUGGUUUUGUUGCAACCUUGCCGGAAAAACCUGGUUGCCUUUCUCAUGGGUCAUGGUAGUGGUGGGUACGUGUUCGUUCCUUUGUUACCCCCAACUGCAUGCAUGAACAAGUAGAAAACCACUAUUUUCGCAAAGAGGCCACCGUCUGAUAUACUACUGAACAUCGCCAUGAAAGUGGCGACCGGUCACGCUUUACAGCACGCACAAAGACCUGGCGCAAACAAGAAAAGCGAGCACAUGCAACUAAAUCCAGCUCCACUCACCCUGCAAGCCAAGUGCUCCUUUUAGUCCCAUACUGCUAAUCACUCUCAGAACAACUCGGCUUAAAGGGACACGCCUCGAGUCUACAAACGCCGGGUGCGGUCGCGCGGGCCUGUUACUCCAGUCAGCCGGAGGGCAAAAGAGUUGGUGUUGCGACAUGGUUUUGGCCCAACGGGCCGUCACCUGGGUUGUGAGUUGAGCUCUGGAUUCGGGAACGCAGCUCGUCUCGUAGACGAUGGCAGGCCGAACUCUCAAGCACCUUGUCAUUCGGGCCCGUCCCAAGCCAAGCACUUGUCGUUCGGCCGUUACAGGUUGGGUCGGAGGGAAACCUCCCCUAUCUGAGCCCAGUUUGGCGUCCCUUCCCGGUUUCCAUUCGCGCGGUCACGGGAGGCCGUAGUCCUUCCCUGAUCUUCCCAUUACGGUAAUCGGGGCUCGUAUGGUUGCCAGAGCUCGCUCACUAACCACUCUCACCAACCCUUUUUUCUCUUCUAACUUUCACUUUAAUGAAUAGCUCCAGCAAAUCACCCAUGCAAAACGAGAUUAUCUAACGGGAAAGAUGCAGUGGGAAGGAUAAAUACAAAAUACUCGUGCCUCGAUCUCAGAUGGCGAACUGUGAAAGUGCCUCGCCGGCACGGCCCAGGGUGGAGUGCCGAGCCCGCCGGUACUCGCCGUAGCUGAACGCCCUGAACCGGCGCGGGCGGCGCGCGUCCACGAGCGCCUCCGGCGCGCGCACCUCCCCGGGGCGCCAGCAGGAACAUGCCCACCGUGAAGCGCGGCGCCGCCGCCACGCACCGCACCCCGUGCCUCGCGUUGUGGAGCUCCCCGUUGCUCCACGCCUGCAGCACACGACGCGACCAAGCUCAGCACGGGACGGCCACCGGUGAGGUAUGCAGCCGGAGAGCGGAGAGAGGCUGACCGUGGCGAUGUCACCGAUGUUGACGAGGAGGGAGCCGGGGAGGGGCAGGUCGACGGGCUCGAACUCGGCGGUGUCCGGGUCGGCCACCUCGAGGCCGCCGAUGCGGUCGUCUUCCAGGAGCACGGUGAGGAAGCUGGAGUCCGUGUGCACCUGCACGCCGGGCGACCCCACGGUCUCCGCCGUGUAGUUGUACCUGUUCAUCCGGAGCUGGCACGGCCAGUCACAGAACGCCGACAACGACCCUCCUCCUCCCCGCCCACGCCGAGGCCCGCGGUCAUCUUCGCCGCGACGUCCAGGGCUAGCUCGUGCGUCUUCUCGGCGUACGCUCCGAUGGUCGCCCUGCGCGCGCACCAAUAUUAAUGGCGGCGAGGAACGCGGCGCGCUUAGUGAAAUUAAUCAAUUCCGUCACCUGAUGUGCGGCGGCGCGCCGAUGAGGUCGCAGAAGGCCUCGACGUCGGCGGGGGCGGAGGCGUCGUGCACGGCGAGGGACUCGAACAGCGGGUUCGUGGCGCUCGGGUGCACGUACCCGCUGUCCGGCGGCGCGACGUCGGCGCUGCGGCGUUUGGCGUCCACGGGGAGCUCGUGCAGCGCCCGCGCGGCGGCCUUCAUGCUGGCCUGGAGCUCGAGCGGCACGCAGCCCAGAAGCCGGGCCGCGGCCAGCAGCCGCGCGGACUCGUCCGGCCGCGCGCCGACGAGGGGCAGGUCGAACACCGGGAUCUCUAACAUCUUCGCCGAAUGUGACUUGUGAGCGAGUUCAGUUGGACCUUGCUAGCUUGUAGUUAGUUGAUACGGGUGGUUCCAUGGGAUCGUGACGAAACCGAGUAUUUUAGGAGAAAGAUGCCUGCAAAUUUUAUUGUUCGAUUCUCAUGUGUCGCAUAAUUUUGUCCAUAAUUGCACGAUUUAGAAACAAUAUGUCACACCCUCAUGUAAUACGCACGAUAAGCACCAUGAGCAAGAAUUUGGGAAAACAGAUGCGAGAGCAGUACUUCGUUAGAAUAUGCGAUUCUGACCUCACGCACUCAUGUUGUGUACUUGAGUGCACGGUAAGGGAAAAGGGACACGGCGAAGACAGGAGAACUCUCGGAAAACAAGGACAUUCAGCAAGCUAAGCUAUAGAGGGGCAGUACAAGGUUGUAUAUCACUUGUCAGUUAACAACUUAACAUGUCUAUCCAAUCUGUGCUGUGUAAAUUGCACAGCGAGGUGUACUGAUUGAUACUCAGGAGUGAGGUGUCAUCUUACUUCCUGCGGGCUCGCGGCAGGGCCUGCAGUGCUCCUGGUCAGUGUGAAGUUCAGCUUCCAAGUGUAGUUGGACCGAGAAUCUAAAUUUUAUCCUCGGCACACCUCACAACUAUUCUUUCUUGGUUUUCUUACUGCACCUUGUGAUACUAUACAAGCAAGUGGCUGCUAGCAGCACCACGGCUAUGAUAAAAGCUGCACACAAUAAAGAAAUUAUACAAAGGUACAUCGCAAAAGAUCCAUAAGACUACAAUGUAGAUUCAUAUGGUUGGAAUAAUUGGCAUGGAUACGAGUAGCAUACCAGCUAUGGUGCCAAAGAACAGCAGAGCGAGCCGGUGUCGUGUUAGCCAUGGAAGCUCUGUUUCGAGAGUACAGUGCCGUUGAAAAGCAUGUUCUUGUUUCUUGAUUGCGUGCGCACCUGAUGGCUGCAGUUCAGAUAUAGGGAACUCCACACUGUGAACAGAAUGGCCCUCAACAUCUCUUAGUUCAAGUUUUAUCCGCGGAGGUACAGCAUUCCAAUCAAUUUCAAUUGCUCCAAAAUUUGGUUGACCUGAAAAAUGCAACACCAAAUGAUUUAACAAUGUAACAAAAUCUCAACACAGCAGGAAAUAACCUAAUCUUUUUCUGGAACGUGUACAAGAGCUGCGCAUCAUUAUAUUAAGAGGGAAAUAAGGUAGCCUAGGUACUGAAAAAUAUUGGCAUUCCCUUCAGAUGCUUUAUGAUGACAUUCUACAAAUGAACUGUAUCUUUUCGAGGCUUUAAAUAAAUUUAAACCUCCGUAUCUAUUCUUUUCUUUUUUAUAGAGAAAGAAAUUGAGUAAAAUAAAACAUUAUAGCUAUCCUACAUUGUGGAUUCAUACUUCUACAGUUGAGACCAAGAAAGAGUCAUACCUGUAGUGCAUGAUUUAUACCGGCACUUAGGGCUAAAGACUCGCAUGGUAGUUGGUGUAAGUACUGCCAGAAGUCUCAUAAUAGGUUGAAAGACUGCUGGCACAGAAUUCUCAACGGACUGGGUAAGACCACUUGAAGUAACAUCAUACAAUGGAUAUUGAGCUCCACAGUCGAAUCUAGCAAUUUCUCCAAAAUGAACAUCACCACUAAUAAAUAUUACUCCGUUUCUCUGCAAAUAGUCAUGCAAUCAGCAUAUGUUUCAUAAGAGUAAUGAACAUGUAAAAAAUCAUUUUGCUGAUAUCAUGGUAUCUUGUAAAGGACUCAGAACCGAAAGGUUUAAUUGAAGAAAGAUAUGCCAGCACCUACUGCAUUUUCCUUUGCCGCAGCUAAAGGAGGAUUGUUACUUUUGGAAAGAUUGAAACCAUGAAUAAUAAUAUAAUAGCUUGCCCGCAAGAAAGUAAUAGUGACCAACCUUACUGCUGUCAAUCAAUCUGAACAGCCUCUCUCUCUCCCUUGGGAAGCGUGCCCAGGACUCCACAUAGAACAAAGGUCCAGUUGUGGCAGAAAGAUUAGAUACUACCUGUAUUGACACAUGGGGAUAAAGCAAUUACUCUAUAGUUAUACCGAUGAAAAUUUCCACUGCAUAGCAUUCCAAAAAAAUGCAAUCCGAUAUGUAACUUUUUUCUUGACCACAAGUGGAGAACCCUGUCAUUUUUAAUUUAUGGUAGAAGAGAACCAAACCCAGCCUGGAGGUACCCAGAAACUGCAUAUUAUAGUGGAAGCAUUAAGACAUAUAAAAAGCGAGAGCAAUGGAACAGUAGGAUACUCUCUGUCCAUCUAAAGAGCUGCCACCAGGUGAAAUGUCAUAUUAUUGAAAUUCUGUCACAUAAAACAAUCACAUAUACCAUCUGUUUUAUUUGGGGAGAAAAAACAGUAGCCAACCAAGCAAUAACUGAAUUUAUUAUACUAUCACUACCACAAAAACUUUCAGGACUUGUGAAAGUUUUUCAUAACUUCUGGGCAACCCAUUAGUUGGCAACUGAGCUGUUCAUCCAGAAAGCUGGGAUCCAUGGGAGUGAGAAGUUUAAUAGCUUUGGAUGUGAAAACUCGUGGUCUAUGAUUUCUAUCUGAACAUUUUUUAUCCUUGCUAGAUUUAGUUUUACAAGUCCUAAAAAAAUAUUUACUUUUAAUAUGUUUACCUGGAUAGAAGAUCCGAUGAUGGUGAUCUCUGAUUGAGGACCAUGAAGCUCCCUCUCCAGCCACUGCCAUUGAGGAUCUCCUAGAAUAGUUCCAUCACUUAAAAGUGGGUCUCUGUGAUAUCUGGUAUCCAACAAGAUUACCUGCAAUACUGUGUGGUUAUCUUUUAAUUCAAAAUUGACGAUGAAACUAAUUGGCAACAGAAGGGGAAAGCACUAGUCAUAUGUUUUAUUUAGCCCUGAUGCACGACCAUUUUAGACCUUAUACUAGCUUUACCGCCAAUAGCACUUUAUGAUACUUAAAAUGACUGCUGGGCUGAUGCUUUAUAUUGAUCGGGACAUGAAAAGGUGCAAAGUAUGUGUAGAUAACUGUGUACUAGACUUAAUUCAGGUAAAUGACAAUUUAAAUUGUAUAAAUGCUAAAUAUCCACAAAAGCCAGAUAUGAAGUCCUCAGAGUUUACACAUAAAAGAGAAGGGCAUGUUCUAUAUCACUUUAAAAUUUGAACAACAGACUCAAAAUGCAUUUACCAGAUGCAAAAGGGGAUAACACAGUAUAGCAGUGCAUCACACUGUUCAUCAAGGAAUUUUUUUAGUCUAAAAAAAGAAUUCUGUCUUUUUGCAUCCUGCAAAUGCAAUUGAGUUUCAUCUUGAAUUUUGCAUUUCUAUUCAUUAUCAAACAUACACUUCCCUUAUAUUUGAUAUUAUCUUGAGAGUCUUAGAAAACUUCUACAUCUAGUUUUCGCAGAAUUUGCAACAUUUAGCUGGUUUCACAAGAUACAUCGCCAACUUAAUAUAUAGCAUAAAAAUUGUGAUAAGGAUCAACCCUCAUCAGAUAAAUAUAGGAUGGAUUGCCUGAUCUUCAUAGUGGAGGGGAACAUCAGAAGAAGUAAUUCUUUGUCCAUCAUAUGCGAACUGGGACAAUUGAUAACUAUCUUGCAAUCAAAUUCGUGGUAGAAAGAAUUGCCAGAAAAGUACAAUGCCCUAUAUUUCAAGAAACUUCUGCAUCUAGUUUUCACAUAAAUCUGAAAAUGCAGCAAAGUAAUGACUGGAAAACAUGUCCAAAACCUGGAUUCACAUUCACAGGGUAGCAAGUUCUUAACUUCUUAUAAACUCGGACAUCAGUAACUACAAAGUACCAAUGACUGAGAUAAGUUUGCACUCAAGGAACAAACAAUGAAGCUGAAACAGAGUUACAGAUAACCAGAUAUUCCAUUUUGGGAAUAAUUUUAAUAUUAUCAUGUUCAUAUGAAAAAGAGGAGAAUAUAUCAAAGAUUGAAGGAACCACUGCAUCACUGAUACAAUUAUUUGUGAUAUAAUCCUAUUUGAACACGAAAUAGAAAAACCAUGCAAAAAUUGAACAUGACAUAAGACUACAAGCAUCGACUUUACCUUCACUCUUUUUCCUUCAGGGCCAAACAUGUAUGAGGUAUAAACACCAGCUUGUUUCCUCCUGAACAAACAAGUAUUAAAUUAUCAGGUGGGGACAUUUCUCCCCUUGCUGACCCUAAAAAAGGGAAAAUAAUAGAGUAUUUUAAGGCAUAUGUUGGUGUAUUGGCUGUAUGUACGCAGAUCCUAAAACUUAUACAGAAAUGUAUGGUCCAAGGAUAGAAGAAGAUUUGACAUACUGUGACAAUAAAUCAACAAGGAAAUAACAUUGAGAGCAACAACAACAAUAACAUUCCAGACUACCUUAAUUUCUAACAAAGAACGCAACUACAGACAAAUGAAAAAUGGAAACAGUUUAACAGAUGACCAGAAAGAAUAUAUAUGUGCUACAACUACAAAGGACGGAGGCAAAUCCAAAUCUAGUAAAUGCGGAUCAGGCCGUUAUAAGUUGAUAGGAUCCAUUUUGAGUUGAAAUACAGCGAGAAAAGUAUCUCAAUUGACUCAAAGAUUGUAUAAUGGUUAAAUCAGACUUUGUGGUCCUAGUCAUAAGAUAAUUGCUUUAAGUAUGAAUUACCCAAGUAAUGUGGUGAUGAUGAGAUUCAAUAUUUUCUGUGAAGGAUGCUUUUUGUAAUGAAGAAAUAGAAGUAGUGCUAGUGGACAUACAAGUAUGUAAAGCAGGUUACAAUUCCAUGCUUUAUUGAAAAACUACCAGUGCUCAGUCUGAAUGUAAAUUGGUUAGCGAACAAUAACUGCAUAACAAGAUAAACAUGAAGAAAUUCAAGAUCAACUCCAGUAUUUCUAAGUGCAUACCGCUUACUGUCUUCAGGUUCAUCCAAGAAAUCUAACAUAAGCCUUUGAGUAAACACUUUCCCACUAAAUUCCUUUCCUGCAUCAUUCAAUCCAUAAUCAUGGUCAUCCCAUGUUCCAAUAACCUGCAAUUAAUGAAUUCCAAUAGUGACACCAGUUUCUCAUAUCUUCUAGAAGCAGGAAGAAGCAGUGUCAAAGAUUCUUCAUAAGUUCAGAAGAUUUUUAGACUGUCCUAAAUAUUAUGGCAACUACAAUUUGGUGCCACCCUAGCCCAUAGUUGGACAUUCGAUUAUACUCCAUCCGUUCCUAAAUAUAUGACGUUUAGGACAAGGCGACAAGCUAUUAGUUAAAAAAUGGACUAGCUAGCUUGUCCUAAACGUCAUAUAUUUGAGAAUGGAUGUAGUAUGAUUCUAUCUGAAAUGCAUUAUUCACUGCUGUAAGAUAAUCAGCCCACGAGUGCAGUCAAUGGAAUUUAAACAGUAACAUUUGAUUGUUUGUCACUGUGAUGCCGACUCAAAAGAGCAGCCCCACGACUGGACUAGCACCAACAAUCAAUGCGGCGAGCAGACACUAGAAACGACCCGGAAGAGAAGCUGACCUGAGCCUUCUCCCUGAGCCUGGCGUACCCGGGCUUCGCCCUGCCGAGCUGGUACCGCCUCCGCAGCUCCUCCUCGGUGGAGGGGUAGAACCGCGGCACGUUCUUCCAGGGCCCCACGGUGCGCUCCUUCCCGAACACCCGGAACGGGCGCUUGUUGUCGCCGUAGACGUUGUCCCCGAGCCAGACGAACACCUGCGGGUCGAACCCCGCGACGGCGUCCCAAAUGGGCUGCAGGAAAAUCGCAAACGAAACAAUUCCGUCACAAUCUCAUGAUCUCAUCAUUCAUCAAAGUGAGCGAGCAAGCACGGCCAGCCGGGGUGAGCAUUCCGUCGCGCACCUGGGGCGCGCUCUGGUUGGCGCAGGAGCCGAAGGCAAUCCUGGACACCACGGCGUCGGCGGCGCGGGCGCAAGGGGCCAGGACGAGGUGGAGCAGGAGCAGGAGCGGGAAGGUGGCGGCCAUUGGGGGAUGCGCCGGGAUGGGAGAGUGCGCUCUGGCUCUGCCUCCGCUCGGUGGGCGAGGCGACGGGCGAGGAGAAAUUGCGGGAGGUGGGCAGGAGGGAGACGGGGAUAUUCCAAUUUCCAAGGCGUCGGAUCCCGGGGAAGGCAGAGGCUGGAGGUGGACGUGUGGUGGUGGGGGCGACCGGGCGAGGGCGAUGCCGGUGGCGGACGCAGGGAGGGAGGAAGAAAGCCGGAGGCCGUUUGCCCCCUUUUUUUCACUUGUUUAAUUAAUGCAGUGGAAUUCUGUGGAAAUCUAUCUACGUGCUGUGUUCCUUCUGACCAUCCACUCCUCUGUUAACCACGCUGCGUGAAGUGUGAAGCUUCUAGAGAAGAACAUAACGUGUAGGAACUUUGUAAGUCAGGUCCUUGAGUUUUGUUUGCAGAAAAGUUAAAUUCUGGCUGAAAUACUCUGAAAAUCCUAUGUAAACUUGGAGGAUCCCCGAGUUAGCAAGUCUGAGCCUGCAUAUCAAGUCAAAGUCAUUGAUCUUACUGGGGAGAAAACAACAGCAUAUUUGGCCAUGAGCAGUUAGAACAAGGAAAAUAUGAUCAUGGCGAUCAUCUCUAGCUGGGAAAGAUGUCAACAAAGCCGCAACAUUUCUGGCUUUGCACUUUUGCAGGGAUGGGGGCUAGCCUAAAAGGCGUGAUCCGGGGUGAAAAAAGCUGCGAACUUGCCGUGCCUAACUUCUUUUUUGCCUUUUGCUUGGGAUCAAGCAACUUCGCUGCAAACAGCAGAAGGCAUCACGUUGUCGCUAAAGCUCAAGGCUUCCAUUCAGAGCUGGAAUAUUUCUAGAACUGUGGCUUACUGGCUUGUGAGAAUCACCGAUAGUCUAAACUAGCUUGUAAGCAUUUUUCGCCCAUUUGCAUUGAGCAUCUGAAGCAAUGGAACCAAGUGAUCACAAAUCUAAUCAAAACCUUCUCCAGCCUCCAGCUAUGCAGCAACGCUAGAAGAACCUGUUCUAUGCAGCAACGCCAGAAGAACCUGUUCUCCAACAAUUGUUUAUGGGCUCAUGGCCUAAAUAGCCCACUCUGCCAUUGCUUAAAGGGCCAGCACUCCAAUAGCUUCAGUACAAAGCAAGUGAUCACACCUAGGGACUCACUGUACUCCAUACUCUUAUCAGCACUGCAAAACCAAUUCGAGGCAUCUGAUUCCAGCAAAUGGUAAGCAAGGAAAUGAUGUGUUCUAACAAAGCAGGCUUCAGCAACCCACCAAAAGUACACAUACAUUCAGAUUACGUCAGGGUGCCAAACUGCAAACUAGAUACAGCUAAAAUUGGUACAUGCCGUCAGGAACUCAACGCAUGGUCAACGAAGUACCUACAUCUAGAUUUCAACAACAAACUACAAGCCAGCGUGUUCAUCAGUUUAUGUUUCCCCAGAUAGCUUGCCCCGAGGUCCCCUUGUUGCUUGGCCUUGCAGUCAGUUCAUAUAGGAUCCGAGCAAAGGUGUCCGAGUAUUUCCCUUCUGUCGUCAGGAUCUCAGCAAAAGUGUUCUCAUGCACAAGGAGGUGCAUCCUGUUUUGAGGCUCGGAGACGAGGCUCUCCAGUAUCAUUGACGUCUUCCUGCAGACCUCAGGCACAGGAUGCGGCGUCUUCACAAUCUUUAGAAGUCUGUCGACAGCCCUGGUUCAAUUCACAUUGAAAUGACAAAAAAAUUCUGAUUGUUAAUGCCACUUCCUGUAUUAGUUUGCUCUCUCUAAUUGUGUGAAGCAGAUGUUUACCAUCGCUCACUGGCAAGCUUUAGCCUGCAAUCCAUAUUCACUUCAGCUACAUUGUAGAGUGCGCUAACAGCAGCAGCCUGUGCAUCAUAUGCUGGCAUACUCAAGAGGUCAACUAGCCGUUUGUAUAUCUGUAUCAAGCAGCACGAUGUAAGUAUGACAACUAAACAGCCGAGAAACAGAUAGCUUUAUUCAAAUGCAGCAUAGACAAUAUAACACCAAACUAUUACCAAAUGAAACAGUGAGCUAAACAGCAGUAUUUACCUGUGGAAUGACAGGGAGAAGAAAUGACUCAUUAUCUGGAUUUAUUAUCAGACGCCCAAUCAGUUCAGCAGCGGCACAGUGCCACGGCUUAACUGAAGAUGAAAGCAUACCCAUUAUGGCAUGAACUGCACCUUUUUCACUGUCUUGGCAAAAAAGCAGCAAAUGAGUUAACUUCAAUAUAGAAAAUAAAAGGAGAGAGGAUAAUACAGCUUCAGAGUUAUGUCUCACGUCAUUUUAAUGAAUGAUGGCUUCGAUGAGCUGAAGAUUCUCAAGUCCAACACAGGUGCUAAAUUGACAAGGGUUUCCAGCAUGUUUGUUACGAGUUCAUCAUCUUCUGCUCAAUGACAACAAAUCAGCAGAGCAUUAGUUCACAUUAAGUCUGUUGGAAAAAGAGCUGGAUUUAAAUUGCCAUGACAUGAAACAGUCCCAGGAGCUCAUUAAAGUUACAACAGACAUUCAAUACACAUAAACAAAAAAGCUCUCACUUCCUUAUUUUGCAGUGUAAGACCAAAUAUAUAAAUAGUCAGUUUUUGGGUUGAGUUUGUGGAGAGCUAAUGAUAGCUUGGUUGGUAGAGCCUCUAGUUGAGAAGCAGUUCACUAGGCUUGAACCCAGGUGUUCGCAGGCCAUGUGAGUACCUCCCUAAAGCAUUCGCUACUCACCCUCCAUCCCCACCCACAAAACACACACGUAAGACGAAGUCAAGCGGAUGUCUCCACCCGUGGGUUUUCAUAUGCAGGUAAUGACAAAACGUAAAACACAACAAACUUGAAUAGCCAAACACUAAUAUUGACAUAGACACAUUUAAUCUAAUAAAAGAAUACUAGAUUGAUGGACUGCAAAAAAAAGAGUAGAAGAUAAAUGCAUGUAACUGAAGACAAGACACAGGGCAAUAUUUCAAGCUUUACCUCUAUUCUGGUCUUCUAAGCACUGAAAUACAGUCUCCAAGCAAUGCCUAUGUUGAACCAUGAUAGUCUCAUUUUCUGGCAUAAAAGAGAAAUUACGGAUUAUAUUGGAGACUGCUAUAGCGCACUGCUGCCUUUCUGCCCUCCCUUCAUCAUCAUUGUUAAACAAGCCAUCCUCAUCAAACCAAAAGCUUGCAGAGCGCUUCUUCGUGACACUGGACUCCUCGGUCUUUGAUUGAUCAUUAGAGGUACUGUAAUUAGUACAAUUAAAAGAACAUAAGAAUAGGCAGCAACAGCCAUGGAUACUGAGAUACGCUAUCAGGAUCUUGGUAAGAUUAGUAACAACAUACGUGCCAGUGUCAGAGUAGACUUUUUCCAUGUUCUCUUGACCAAAGCCAGAGAGCGUUGUGUUGGCACCCAAAGUUCUUACUCUGGGUGGUUUGAGAUGGUCCUUAGGCAUUGCAAUAUCUCUCCAUUCAUCAAUCUGUACGAGAUAUCAAAGCAUAAGACACAAUGCAAAAAACAAAACGAGUAGCUUCUUUUGGAAGAAAUUGACAGACACAUCAGUACAUUGCUUUGCAGAUUUUAGAAGUUAAUUUGGUGUAAGAACCAUAUAAAUUAGAUGAGAUGAGUCUAACCUACUCCCUCUCAUUUUCCACAUGGAUGACGUCGCUGCCACAUGGCAAAAGUUAAUGAUGCCACUGCCACAUCACCAAAAACCACCCACAAAUCCUCCUAGGACAUGGUUUGCAUCUGUUUUUAUCUGAUUCUGGAAAUAAAAAAGGGUUCACCCUUAUGGGGUAUGGGAAAGAGAAUUCUGGGCAGAUUUACCCUUGCUUCUUUGGCAACAUGUGGAUAAAAUAUAAAAGGAGAGAAGGAUUGGGGAACCAAAAUUAGACGACUUUUUCCCUUUGUUUUAUGGCUACAAACCUAUAUGGACAAUGAUGCCAGAUCCCACAAACACCAUUACCCUUUCCUUCAGUGUUUAUAUUAAAGGGCAAUGCUAGCUUGACUAAAUCUAGUUCAAAUGCAUUUUUAUGCAAAUACAAUUAGCACUGAUUAGCAGACAGAAUCAUAAUUGCUAUACAAUUUCAAAUAAAAUGUAAAUUGCAUGAUUUAGUAAGAGAUGAAUCAAACUAGAAAGAUGAAAAGGGAAUUCAGGACAUACAACUUGAAGAAGAGCAUCUAAGAGCCCAGGAACUUUAGCAAGAGGUGUUGUAUCACGUCGGAAGUCAUCCUUCUCCUUAAAUGAGAGCACUGUAAGGGCAUUCAGUGCCCACAGUAUCUCUGAUUUCAACCCACUUUGCAAUGCAAGGACAAUUCUUUUGUUAUUCUGAUCUGAGAAAAGCCAAAAGAGAAAAAUAAGUGUCCUGCCAAAUGGUCGAUGCUGGUAACCGUUAUUAGAAAAUGAUUACUUGUGCAGUUCAAGCUCAUGACAAAGAACGUGAGGCAUCACCUCUAACGAACAGGACAAAACAAGAGUAAAAUGAUAGAGAGCAGGAACACAAAAUAAGGUAAGCAUAACUGUGCCAUGCCAUUGUUUGUCAGCUGUAUAAAGUAACUGUUUCCAAGCUUGGGAAAUGAAAAGACAUGUACACGCUUUAUAAACCUAUAUGUAGUUAUAUGCACUCUCAAGGAAGGACAUGUGCACAUACGUGAACAUUUCUAAGCCCAAAUUCUUAUCAUCACAUAGAAAGGUUUGCAGUCAAUUCUACUAGGUAUUCAUGUGACAGGAAGAAUUACAACUAAGUUGACCAGCAACAACAAUCCAAACUGGAAGUGAGGCGUAUUACAGUUUACCCUAAACAUUUUCAAGAAUAAAAAAGAAGAGGAGGCAAGCAUCAGGUUCUUGAUACUUCUUUGACCUUCAAAGAACUGAAAAACAAAGUCUCUGUCUAAAUUGGAUACUCAGGUUAGCCUCAAAGUUGUCCAGAACUCUAUAGCCUCAUCCAAGCCAGAAUUAUGUGUCUAAGCAAGACGUGCAGCAGAGGUCUGAAAGAAACCGUGCUAGUUAGUGUUCUAUGGCAUCACACAGUUUUCAUAAAGAGUCUGUUUGUGAUGUCAAACCUUUUCCAUUGUAUGUAAACUCUGCUACUUAACACGAUGGCUUCAAGAAUGUUAAGCUAAAUCAUCUGCACUGCAAAUGUUAUAUAACCAUGAUGACUAUUUUUCUCCCAACAUUUAUUUGACAAUCAACACUACAAAUAUGCAUACCCGUAAUACUCUGCAGCAACAUUUUUGCUUCAGAAGAUAACCAAACCAACGGCAACAAACUAAUCCAAAAUGUCUCCAUAAAAUGAGCACUCCGAUGGCAAAAACUUGGACCUCUAAGGCCUUAUUUAUACCCCUUAUGUCAGUGUCAAGCACGUAAUUACACAGAUCUUAGGAGGCAGUAAAAAGAGAGGCAUAUUUCACAGUCUAACGCCCAUAAUUUUCGUCCAACAAAUCGACCCCAAAUUCAUAGGACCAACACCCGAGUUAUUCCCCCCUCAUGCCCCAGAGUCGCACAUAAGCUGAGUUGAACUGGGAGAGGAGACGAAUGAGCGGGUUACCUGAGAGGGCCGAGAGUACUUGGAGGGACGGCCCGACCAGCGCGGCGGGCGCCCCCGGGUCGCCGACAGCAGCCGCCGCGGCUGCGGCCGCGGCUCCGCUGCCGGUGGUGCUCCCGAAGGGGCGGCCGCGCUUCGCCGGCGUGCCGCCGCCGCUCCCGCCGGACUUGCCCGUCUGCUUCUGCAUGGCUAGGGUUUUGGAGCUCGGAGCUUCGAGGGCGGAGCGACGGAGAACGGCGCGUGCUCGGAGCUCGGAAUUGGGGUGGGCACCGUGUCGAAGCGGACAAGGCGAUCCGCGGGAUUACUCGGACGGUGGAGAUUGAGCGGUAUACGCCUCCCACGGCCAAGUGAUACAUGCCGUUCUCUUGCGCUAGACAGGUGGGUCAAGACUAUAGCCCACGACAUAGUUUGAGUUUCGAGGUUUUAAACUAAGCGUGUCUCUGACAGCAUAACGUUGUGAACAGUUAACCAAACGGAAAUGCUAUGCAUCCGACAUCUUACCCAUCUGUCCGGAUGCACCAUCCACUGUCCGCCAGAUCCGAUAGCUUAGCUCGCUUCACUCACAUUUCUCCCCCCACUCCUCCUCCCGCACGCCACCCUCCCGUCCAUUUGCCCCUUCCCUUCUCUCGCUUUCACCUAGUACCUGAUGCUUUCACCCAAUACCCGACGCGCCCCUGCGGUGGCGAUGCGGACGCCGCGGCCGGCGGGAAGGAUGCCGGCAGAGGGCAGCGCUGGCGAGCCAAGCGACGAGGAGGAUCAUGGUGUCUCCUCACGCCCGCACGCACACCGCCCGCGCCCGGCCAGUCGUGAUAUGGACGCCACGACGGCCCCAGCGGACCACCCCGAGGCGAUUCGGUCCCGCGAUGCUAUUCAGGCCAAGGAGAACAAGUGUGCGAGGCUAACCAGUGAGUUCAUCAUGCCCGACAUCUUUCUUCGCUAAUUUGUGCGGAUUUGGGUUGGGAUUUCUUUCCAUUUAGGGUUUAGGGUUCGGUUUUGUCCGAUUUUUAGGGUUCGGUUUGCAAUGUUUCAUCCACUAGUACUGUUUAUGUUGCAAAAUUUCAGGAGCAAUCAAACUUAGCAUUGUACUUGAGCAAUCAAACUUUCCAUGCUAGCAUUUUUGCUGUGCUCGGGUGUGGUUUAUGUGUUGCUCAGGUGAUGAGACUGAAGUUACGUCACAUUUCUUCAGUUUCCAUUGGCAGAGCAACGAGACAACAUAACAGUUAUUGUGAAUUUGAUAUAUCUGCAGGGUGUCACAUGAGUUGAGAUAUCGGGUACAUUCCUAGGAAAUCUAAUUGUCUCAAUUCUUUUGUAGUGCUCUAGUUGAAUUGUCAAGAACCAGUGUUUUGCUGAUGUGCAAUGUUUGUAUUCGAAAUAGUGUUACUAGCAGAAUGAAGAGGUAGACCUGAAAUGUCUAUUACUCCUUUCUGUUUGUUGGUUAGUUACUUGUUUCGUGGAGGUGAUACUGUGUACGUGGUCCUUCAAAUCUUAAGCCUAAAUAAAACACAAGCGUUUAUGCGUGAGGAAACAAAAACUAUCUAUCAAGCUGCCUUUUCCACUUAGGCCUUGUUUAGUUGCCUAACUUUGAAGAUGCAAAAUCACUGUUAUAGCAAUGUAGCACACUGUAGCGUUUCGUUUGUAUUUGUGAAUUAUUGUCCAAAUAUUGACUAAUUAGGCUCAAAAGAUUCGUCUCGCAAAGUACAACAAAACUGUGCAAUUAGUUUUUGAUUUCUCUACAUUUAGUACUUCAUGCAUGUACCGCAAGUUUGAUGUGAUGGGGAAUCUUCUUUUUGCAUAGUGUCAAAGUUGGGAGUUGGGGGGCCUUAACAAUGAGCAACUCUCGAGUACUUUUCACAGUAAAAAUGCACCUGUACUGUUUAUGUUGCAAAAUUUCAUGUUUCAACCAUCCAUGCUGUCUUUUUCAACACAUAUGUUUCACAAAGUCCCCGCUGAGAUGAGCCAUUCCACGGAGCGGGAGCCCAAAAAUGUGGCUCCCCGCGGCUUCCUCCCUGUUUUUGCCAUCCCUAUACUCGGGAGGGGCAGGGCGCAGGCGGAGCGAGGACGGCGCCGGGCAGCCAGCAGUGGGAGGCAGGGACAUCGCCAAGCAGCCAGCAGCGGGGACGAGGAAGGACGGUGGCGGGAGUGCGGUGGAGAUGCAGCACGGUGGGGGCGGUGGGAGUGCGGUGAGAUGCAGCAUGGCGGGGGAGCAGCAGGGCGGCAGCAAAUACGAUCCCUGCGCAGGGGCAGGGCCUGCAGGCGGAGCGAGGACGGCGCCGGGCAGCCAACAGUGGGAGGCAGGGACAUCGCCAAGCAGCCAGCAGCGGGGACGAGGAAGGACGGCGGCGGGAGUGCGGUGGAGAUGCAGCACGGCGGGGGCGGUGGGAGUGCGGUGAGAUGCAGCAUGGCGGGGGAGCAGCAGGGCGGCAGCAAAUACGAUCCCUGCGCGGGGGCUAAAGUGGAGUAGCGGUGGCGGCCGCCAUGAGCGCGUGGUCUGCCGGCCCGGCUGGCACGCGGCCUGCCCUCCACACCUCAGCUGCUGGCGUAGCAGAAACAAAUAGCAGCCCAGCAGAAGCAAGCAGCACCAGAGACGCCGGAGGCCUGGGCAUCAACGGCGGAGGUUGAAAAGACGGGAAGGAAGGGAACGCCGAACAGAUAAGGUCCAAGGAGGAACGAAUGACUGGUAGAAAAGAGAGAAAAACAAAAAAGAAAAAGGCGUGUAAAAAAAGAGAGAAGGAUCGGAUAAUAAGUGAAGGGGUAAGAAGGAAAAAGAAAAAUAUAGCAAGGGUAUCAUUAGUAUAUAAUAAUAUAAUGAUUGGCUAAUAUAUAAUUCUCCUCAUUAAUAUUUUUAUCAUACAAAACUCAAAUUAUAAACAAGAGAGAAAUCAUGGCAUAUUGUGCAUUUGACAUAUUUCAUCCAUUCAUGAGAAACAAAAGAAGCUAUUUUACUAAACGUUUUUCAAAACGACUUUAGCUCUAUCAGAGAAGCUGCAUGUGUAGGCCUGGAGCCAUGGAGCCAUGAACAUAUGCAUACGUCACAAUUUACAAGCAGUGCACGUAAGCACGUCAUAAUUUACAAGCCAGGCCACGGAGCUAGAGACAUUCUUCGGCCCCGUUUUCUUCCACUGACUUAUUUUUAGCACCCGUCACAUCGAAUGUUUAGAUACUAAUUAGGAGUAUUAUUAAGAUUUGCUUGAAGUACCUUCACUUGCUCUUCGGCUUCUACCACUAGAUCAAGACCAUAGGUUUGUCUUUCUCCAGUUUGUGACCAAUUUAAUGGUGUCCGACAUUUCCGGCCAUAUAGGACUUCAAACGGUGCCAUCUUCAAACUGGCUUGGUAGCUAUUGUUGUAAUAGAACUCCGCCAAUGGCAGGCACUUGUCCCAAUUUUUGUCAUAGUGGAUGACACAAGCUCUCAACAUGUCUUCAAGGAUCUGAUUGACUCUUUUGGGUUUGACCAUCGGUUUGAGGAUGAUAGGUUGAGCUACGGAUGAGUUUGGUGACCAUGGAUGCUUGUAGCUGUUCCCAAAAGCGUGCUACAAACUGAACUCCUCGAUCAGAGAUGAUGGUCUUAGGCACACCGUGUAGGGAAACAAUGCUGUCAGAUNNNNNNNNNNNNNNNNNNNNNNNNNNNNNNNNNNNNNNNNNNNNNNNNNNNNNNNNNNNNNNNNNNNNNNNNNNNNNNNNNNNNNNNNNNNNNNNNNNNNAGGAGCUGCCUAUGAGUUGCUACCCUUAAACAUCUGUAAAUAAUGGGCUUAACUAGGGCGUAAUUAGGCUCAAUAGAUUCGUCUCGCCGCUUAGAUCCAUCUUAUGUCAUCCUUUUUUAAAUCGUCUACGUUUAAUACUCCUAAUUAGUAUCUAAACAUUCGAUGUGACACGUGCUAAAAAUAAGUCAGUGGAAGAAAACGCCCCCGAAUAUUACUUAGGAGUUUAGGACUUGGGAGUGGCGAAAAUGGAAGAAACAACAUUAGCCCAACGUAAUCCACAAAUCUGCCGGGUCACCGUCAAAGCCCCGCAUCUGGCCCUGCAGAAACUUCAGAAAAUUGGAAAGAGAUUUGUAAAUAAGUUAGUCAAAGGAGAUUUUAAGAGCGUGCCUUUCUUUUAUCUGAUAAUGUGUACUAUCAUACCGUCACUUUGGGAAAAAAAAUUCUAAACAAAACGAUUCUUUUGGAUGAUUAAAUAGCUAACAUCCAUUAAAACAGCAGUGUUUCAGUGUUCCGUCUAAAAUGAAUUUAUAAUAUGUAUGGCAGUACAAGUAAAUGAAUAAUUGCAGUUAUGGGAAGCUAGUGUUUUGAUAUCUAUCUGGUCCGGAAUUUUCUAGAACACAACCAAGCAUAUAUGUGCGCAUAGCCACAUUGUACCGACUGCCCCCAAUUGGCAUCACAGUGGAGCUAGAAAAUUUUCAAGUGCUAGAGGUAAACUGAUGAAUUAGCUCUCACCUUUGUUUUUUAUAGCACGCAGAUCAACUAGGUGGCGCAUCGUUGGCCUCCCAUGUGGGCAGUUCCAUGGGGACCUUAAUCCUGUUAGAUUUUUAAGUAUCUGAAGUACAAAAGUAAAAGGGGCAUGUUACUGAGUAUUUUAAAUGAAUGCUUAUCUUUGUCUAAAAAAGGAACGCCUAUCUUUCAAUGAGCAGUGACACUAUGGGGGAAGGCAUUGCAUAUACUUCUGCAAAGACAGAAAUGGCGUCCAAAGACCCUAGAAGUUCCAUCUGAAUCUAACUGAAUUUGUAAUUACCUUUCUCAUCUCGGCUUUUGUCAGUGGAUCGCCAAUCAUAAUAGACAUUCGGCAAGCCCUUGAAGCCAACAUAGCACGAACCCUCGAAGGGCAAACAGAAUCAGUUUUAUCCAGCUUGUAGCUACUGAUUAUCGAACAGUCUCCUUGACUAUCAGCAAGCAUGGAGAUCAGCUCCUUUACAUCUAAUCAAGGAAAAUUAGAAUAAGACCAUGUUUGACAUGAGCAAAAGAAACCAAAAUUUCUGACAUAUGAUAAGAAAUAAUACCUUGAACACCAAAUGUAAUAUUUUUGCUGAAAGGCACCGCUUUCAAAAGAUAAUGGUUACCAGGGGAAGCAUGCAAAUCUUCUUCCAAAACAAAGCCAUUUGUUCUGAAAGUUGAGAAAAUGGAAGAAAACAGGUGAGGUAGCACGAAUUUGCUCAGUAUCAGUAAGAGCUGUCAUCAUGGCAUGUUUCAUCAAUUGGUGCCAGAGAGGAAAAGAACUUGAUGAUUCAAGACCACGUUGGCAUAAUUGCACAUUUUAUCAGGCAUAAUUGAUAUUUUCAACAUUAAAUAGAGAGCAAAACUUUUUGGAAGGAAAAAACACAAGGAACUGAUAUAUGAAGAGCGUGACUACAUGAGUUAUUCAUAUGACUUGCAGGCUAUAAAAGCUGCCUAGUUCCACCUAGGUCGGUAUAGCUUAUUUUUUCAUGAUGUACAAGACUUUUUCGCAACAGGAAUGUGGAGCAUACAAUGUAUUUGUUUUUUUAAUAAAUAGAUAACACUAGAGUAAGUAUAGAUAACAAAUGGAUAACACAAGCUGUGAAUAUGGCCAUCAGAGUUUUUUUUCCUUUGUUAGGGGGCGCCAACAAUGAUAAUUUUUCUUCAAAAAAUUCAGUGCAAAAAUUCAAGUCGGGGGGGGGGGGGGGGGGAAUGUUCAAAACAAAAUAGUAGUGGGUGUUGUUUGAGCAAGCAAAUGUUAAUUGUUUAGAUGCAACAAACAUCUGGUCACAUAAGCAACUGAAUAUUACAGCAUCAAAAAUGCAUAUUCAUCAUUAAGUCGUUCUAUCCUAGAAUCGAAUGGCCAAAUUGAAGUAGUAAGACAAUGAAUACCUGAUAGUGUUCAUGUUCAUAGAAACUAUUACUUCUUCCUCCGGUGAUAGAUCAAGCCUCAGUGGCCUGCAUUUGAAUAUAAUCACAAAUACCCAACAGAAAGAGGUAUAUCGCAAAUGGCACACAUAAAUACAAUGCUACAAAUUAUGGAUCCAUACUUGGAAACACUCAAACAUCACAGAGUUAUGAGCNNNNNNNNNNNNNNNNNNNNNNNNNNNNNNNNNNNNNNNNNNNNNNNNNNNNNNNNNNNNNNNNNNNNNNNNNNNNNNNNNNNNNNNNNNNNNNNNNNNNGAAAUGGUAAUGCAAAUCCGGAUGAUAAUGUAAGUUGUUUGUGAUGACACCAAAAAUGUUACCUUGUAGCUUUCUCAAGACAAUUUGCUUUAUUUGCACGCGAUGUCAUAAAACCAUUCUUUCUUCUUCUCCUAAGAUCAGCAACAGUAAAUUGCACAAUGGGAUAUUGUACAGAUGCAGAAUAUACUGCAGCAUCAUUAUCAGAAUCAUGAGCAUCAGGCAAAGGACUAUCCUUCAAUGUAUUCAGAUGUUCCACUUCUGAAUGUUUAUUGGGAGCACCAGAAAUCGAAAGACAUCGAUCAUGCUGUUCCUCCUGCAAGGAUUCCAGCAGUUAAUCCCGUGAGUGAUGGAAACAAAAGCUUUUUUUCGGUUUGAGUUAAACUCAUACUGAACCACAGGUAGCUAACGAAAGAAAUUAUUCCAGAAGCAAUGUCUAUUGUUUUAAACUAAAACUAAUAGCAAAAAUACCAAAAUUAGAUUGAUAAUUCACAAAUUAGAACAAUGUAAUCUUGCAAGAAAAUAAAAUAGAAAAUAGAAAUCCAUCAUGAACUCUUAGAUUUAGGAGCAGCAGGCAAAGCAUUUAACAGGAGUGUUAAGAAUAACAAGUGAGCAAGCAGCAUAAGAACAUGGACAAAACAAGCUAAGGUAUUGGCAGCAGUUCAAUCUCCACCAGAAUAUAAUGGAAAGGGCUGCAUAUCUGACUGUAAACAGUUUGCUUACCACAUCAGGUUCUGGAGUGAGAACAUCACAUGGACUUAAUACUUUCGCACCACAGAUCACAGUAUUAGGCGGUUCAGAAUGCUGUGGUGAAACAUCUGCCCUCACAGAUACAAAAGAUCGUGGGGAUUGCUGUUUUAAAGAGUUUGUUUCCAGAGGCAAAUUGAACUCAGGAAUAUUAGAUGUCCUUGAGCUUAAUGCAGCUGGUGGAUUUGCAUCUAAACUUGUUCUCCUCACUUGUUCUGAGCCUACCCCACUUCUCAACACUGGAGUUUCAGAGAUAAGAUUGCAAUUAUCUUCGUGCUUCUGCUUAUUUGGUGAAACAAAGUUUCCUUCCAAACUUGUUCUCCUCACCUGUUCUGAGCAUGCCCCUAUUCUCAGCACUGGAGCUUCAGAAAUAAGACUGCAAUCAUCUGUAUAGUCCGGCUUGUUUGGCAAUAUAAAAUUUGCUUCCAAACUUGUUCUCCUCACUUGUUCUAAGCAUGGCCCUCUUCUCAACACUGGAGCUUCAGAAAUAAGAUUACAAUCGUCUUCGUGCUUCCGCUUGUUUAGUGAUACAUAGUUCAUAAGAGAAGAUUGAACAGUAGGUGAAUGGGUAGAUUUUGCAGCAAGCCCUGUUCUGAAAUGAUUUGCUCCCGGUGCACAACCUUUUCCUUCUUUAGGAAAUCUUUUAGGUUGUUCAUAUGAGAAGGAUGGAAGCCAGGCAGAUCUAUCAGCCUGAGUGGCUGUGCCUCUUGACAAGGGGCUCACUUCUCUAGAUGUGGCAUCAAUGGCUACCUUUGUCACUGAAGAAGGCUUUUUCUUGUUCUCUGGUGAAACCUGAUCCUCGCUGUCUGUUUCUUCCUUGUCAUCACUAUUGUCCGGAGAUGAAACAUUCUCUACUUCUAUCAAAUCUGUGUCUUCACUAUGCCCAUCAGUAACAGUAUCCUCUUCCUUUUCAGGAUCUUCAACACGAUUGACUGAGAAACUACAUUGUUGAGGGGAAUACAGAUUUUCAACAGCUUCACGUAAAGACCGCAGAAUUAUACUCUCAGAUGAGAAGAAAAUCUUUCUCUUGUCAGGUGCGACAUUCACAUCAUAGGAUGUGGUUGGAAUACGGAAAUCCAGGAGAGCCACAGGAUAUUGCUUGGCAUUCGAGCUUCUGUACAGCUCAUUGACAAGUUUUGUGACCUUUGGCAUAUCAACAGGUCUGCUGUUCACAUAGAAGAAUUGUCUAUCUCCUGAAUUGCGACCAGUACCAGGUCCAGGUUUUGAGAGAAAGCCUUCUACUUGGCAGCCAUCUGAGAUGGUAACACUGAAGGGCUCAAGAGACUUGAAAGUGUUCAGACCAAAUACGGUAAUGAUAUUGUCUUUCAUUGAACUGCUGCCUUGAGUUCUAAGCACCACCAUUUUAGAAUUUUUGCCAACAGUAUUAGUGCAAAGUAAUCUGACCCCUUUGGCAAUCAAGGCAUAAGCCUAGCACAAGUAAGAUGCAACAAUUAGUAAUAGAGGGUAAAUAGACAAUCAGACAAUAAAACCUAAGCAAUAAUCUGAACAGAACAUGCCUACUACAGGAAGGAAAUAAGUAGAGAUGUGUGACAAUAAAUUGUUGAAGGGGAACAGUUACCCUCAACAUUUGAUAGCCACACACAAAACAUGCAAAGCAAAGCAAUCUUAGGAACUGAAACAGACAACUCACAUUCAGCAGGGAGAUCACUUUCCCAUACUCUUUCCGAAUGUUCCUGUUAAACUCCUUGCUCCUGACCGGCAAGGUGGAGAACAACUUCUCGACUGUCACCGUGGUCCCAACCUGCCGUGCGGUCUUCCUCUCGCUGGCCACCACGCCCGAGUGCUCAAACUCCAAACGCGUCCCAACGGACUCAUCCUUGGUCCUCGUCUCAACCGUCAGUUUCCCCAGCGCGCAGAGCGAGCUCAGCGCUUCACCCCGGAAUCCGAAGGUGACCACGGAUCCGAGGUCGGAGAAAUCUGAUAUCUUGGAGGUGUGGUGCUUAAGAGCAAGCGCCUAUUGAAGUGGCCGCGGCAUGAUUAGCGAGGGGCAAUUCGUGGCAAUGCCUAAUAGCAGGGAAAUGGGGGGAAGGGGAACUGAUGGCUCCUUGUAUUGGGGACAGAUGCCUCACCUGGAAGUUGGCGGGCGAGAUGCCGUAGCCGUUGUCGGCGACCUUGAACCACUCCGCGCCGUAGGCCUUGAGGCUGACCUCGACGGAGGUGGCGCCGGCGUCGAGGCUGUUCUCGACGAGCUCCUUGACGGCGGAGGAGAGGUCGAAGAUGACCUGGCCGGAGCAGAUGCGGUGCACCACCGCCUUGCUUAUCGGCUUGAUCGCCGGCGAGGAGCCGCCGCGCCCGUCUCCUCCUCCAGCUCCAGCCAUUCCUCCUUAAACCCUACGCCUCCCGGUGGAGAGGACGGGGUUUCCGGCUUCUGCUUCCUCUAAUCCUCUGGAACCCGCGCUCCUGGCUAUGCAACCGGCAAGCGAUUGAUUUCGCAGGCUCGCCGCAGUCGCAGCACGAGUGGCGGCGGCGAGACGCAUAUGCGUUGGGCCUUCAGUGGGCUUGGCCCAGAUAGAGAAUGAAACUCGAGAAAAAUGGGCCUUUUGUUAAAAGAAGUUUAGGCCCAUGCUUUUCUCUUUUUCCUAAAGAAAUUUAGGUCCAUUUUUUUGUAUGACCCAAUCCAAAUAUUGCCUAUGAUCAGGUAUAAUUUUCUCUGAGCUUCUUGUUGUCUCCAUGCUUCGUCAUGCUACCUUAUCCUGCAUACUUGAUUUUAUAAUUGCCGAGAUGAAACUACAAAUUCAUUUUGAAACUUCUGAGCCAGCUUCAUAAUAAACACAGCCGGCAAUAGCUAAUAAUUAGAAAAAAAAAAUCUGUGUGUAUACACAUAAAGUGUUUUGGUCUUUUGGGGCAUUAUUGUUAGGUUCGGGUUGAACUGAAUUCGCUUAGGAAAAAAAAUAAAACUCCAGCGCAGACUCAAGUGAAAAUGUUGCAACCUCGCGCAACCAAGAAUUAAGCACGGCUUUGUCCAUAACCAGGCCAGGUCACCCCCAAAACCACCCUCCCGCCCACCGGAUUAUGGCGCACCGGUGGCCGGUCAAAGCAAGCAGCCGGACAACACAAGCCCAAGUUGGCCGCGACUGCGUCCAAAGAACGUGACGAAUCCGCAACAGAACCAUGCGUUCUCCGUUCCGAGUCACCAUCAACUCAAUUAAAAAGAAAAAGAAAACGUGACGAUUCCGAAGAAGCGAGGAGGCGCCUCGCCGCGGCGCCACCCAUCACCCAGCCUGCCGCGCGGCGCGUUUCAGCCCGCGUGAGCUGGUUGGAUGCACCUGCGUGGAGGUGCGGGUGGCCCCCGGGUUCGUCGGCCGCGACCGGUGUUUGACUGCCCCGCCGCCGCCCAGACGAGCGGUUCUCGCAUUGGAUUUGUAUACUUUUGUUCGUUUUACACCUUUCCAUUUGCCGAAUUUGUGUAGCUGUAUCCCUCCUGUGGUAGCAUUAGUGUAUGGGCCCCACGUACCGCAAAAAAUGUUCUCACUCCCCUCCGUUUCUCCUCCCCCAGGCGAGCAGAGAGGAAAAGACACAGCGUCGUCUCCAUCUCUCGUUCCCCAUCCUUUCUAUUCUCCUGCCGGAGCUUCCCAACCCCAUCAAUCCAGCCAUGGAUCAAGAAAUUAAUUCCAUGGAGGACGGUAAAUAAAAACUCCAGCAUGUUUUUACUUUUUUCUAAAUUCCAAUGUGUUCCACGUACCGGUUACAACGGCCGUAAUCUACUAAUUUCUCUCUCCCGUUCCACCUCGGUCACUUUCCAAAGACAGAAGCGUGCACUUAUAUACACGCAUAAGUUAGGUGAUAGCAAAAGCGUUUCGUGGAUCGGAACGCUGGCGAGAAAGAAUUAGAACAUUGACGAGAUAGCGUAUAACGAUCUUCUUGCUUCUUUAUUAGUUUUUUUUAAUCAGUAACGGAUAAUUGGAUGAGGCUACAAUUUGUGUCGGAUACGAAAGUGAUCGAGUAGAGAUACAUGUUAAGGGGGAAAAUAAUAGCAUGGACCUUUGUUUAUGCAUUUUCAUACGAAAUAAUGAAGAGCACCGCUAGGCGCUAAACAUAGGAAUAUGGUACGGCUGGUUUUUCGUCUACAAAAUUGCAACCACUUCCUUUCUUUGAUCGCAAGAAAAAAGUGGGUUUCAGGGGGUGUUUGUUUCUUUAGUCCCUCCUAAAAUUUCUAUCACAUCAAAUGUUUAGAUACUAAUUAGAAAUAUUAAAUAUAGACUAAUUACAAAACCAACUGCACGGAUGGAGACUAAUUUGCGAGACGAAUCUAUUAAGCCUAAUUAGUUCAUGAUUUGACAAUGUGAUGCUACAGUAAACAUGCGUUAAUGAUAGAUUAAUUAGCUUAAUAGAUUAGUCCUCCUAAUUAGUCUGCAUCUGUGUAAUUAAUUUUAUAAUUAGUUUAUAUUUAAUCUCAUAAUUAGUCUCCGAAUAUUUGAUAAAAAACGCACCAUGUGAAAGGAAUCCUGCCAAGUGUGGAUACUAAGCGAAUUCCAACAUAUUUCAAGGACUUGAACACAAACAAUGCUGGUAUAUAACAAGACCCGGACAGACUUUCCCCCACCAGAACGAGAGAGGAAGAACUCGAAAAAGACAGAAGGCGAAAAUUCGAAGGAAAGAAGAAGAGGAGAACGCGAAGCAAAUGGCGGAGGGCCCGAGCAAGAUGGAAUCCAUGAGGAAGUGGGUCGUCGAGCACAAGCUCCGUGCCGUAGGUACGCCUCGUCAGUUUUCCUGCGGAUUCGUUUUCUUCGCCCGGAUCUAGUUAUUCGGCGUUGGUUUAUGAUGUAUCUCAAAUCCCUACAAUUUCUUUCUGACGUUAUUAGCGGAGUUUCGCAAUUUGGAUUGUGGGAGUCUAUCACGAAAUUAUGACCUAGUUUUUCUGUUUUCCGAGUAUUUUUGGGAAAGUUGUUUUUUUAGAUUAUUUCCCCUACUGGUUGCAAAGUUUUCUGAUUAUUGCGGGAUGUUUGGUUGGAGAAAAGGUUGCCUCUGGCUCACUGGGAUCAGCAGUUCGAUCGCCUACAACUGGUCGCGGCCCAAUAUGAAGCCUAGCGUCAAGAUCAUCCACGCAAGGUUAGUUUAUUUUCUCAUUUUUAUUUCACUCCUUUAACUUUUUGCGCGUUUUUAACUACAGGAUAGCAUGUCUUGUAUUAUCAUAAACAAGAAUACCGCAAUUGAUUUAUUCUUUUCUUAGAUCCAAUAACUUAAUUAGUCUUGAACAUUUCAUAUUUUUAAAACUACUACAAUUAAAAAUGGUUGAUUUUCUUGUCUGCGUCUGAAACUCCGUUUGAGAGCUAAUCUGCAAUAUGAAAAAGCCCGACCAACUUACAUGUUCCUAGACCUACAGGACUACAUCUCCACGGACUUCAUAUGAUUUUUUGGAAGUUUCUGUAAGGCUGGCUUAUUAGGUAUAACAUUGCUCAAUAACUGCUAAGAUUCCAGCCACAGUUAGGUAGGAUGGACUUGGCAUCAGGAUUGUAAGUAAAGAUCGGUGGUCUGGCAAGAAGUUUGAUUUGAUUGUAGAAAAGUCUCUGGUUUCAAUCGUUGUUAACUGUUGGUAGUGGUUAUAAAGUAGGUGGUGACAUUUGGCACAAGCACAAAUGCAGGGAUACCGUGGGUUUGCUGUGCCUGGAGGAAAAUAGUUGGUCUUGAUUCUUUUCAAAUAUACAGCAUUGGUUUAUAAGGUUGUAUGACAGUGUGUAUUUAUAUGGAUUUGGUUUCACAAAUUGGUUUGGGUGCCUGCCUGAUAGUGUUACCUUAUCUCCUGUAGUCCUGUUUUAAGCGUGCAGUCGUACCAUUCAAAAGAAAAGUUAAAGUUUAGUAGCUUCUUGGUUAUUGCAGACCUGUGCUUGAUGAUCUGUUAGGUAUAUACACUGGUAUUUGUCCUUACAUGAUGUAAGGAGUAAUUUAGGCAGCCUCUAGUUUAGUCUUUAAGCUCAUAAGGUUGUAAGAGUACCAAGUUCUCUCUGUUUCCUGCACCUUUAUGCAUUGGCUUAUAUGACCUGUCCACUCCAGCCUAAAAGUAAAAGAACAUCCGCAGAUGCAUUACCCAAUCCCUUGUCAAACUACUUUAGAUUGAACUUUUUAAUGCGUUUUCACACCCUCCUCCAAAGUCCUAAUUUGCUUAUUUCUUCUGAAUGUUCUGUAAGCCUGUCCAAGCCUAACUGCCAAAUUUGGGCGUGUUUACCUAGUUCAGCACAUAAAAUAUCUGAACUGUUGCUAUACCUUUGGCAUUCUGCCAAUAAUAGGAAACUCCUUGCCUUUUUUUUUUGCCAAAAUGGGAUGAAAACAGAUGCUACUUAAUUGAUGGUUCCAAUUUUUGCAAGUUUUUAGGGCCUACCUGCAUAAACAUAAAAACACCCUUAAAACCACUAUGGAUUGAACUUGUACAUUGAUCUUUCUCAUGUUGAAGGAUAGUGUUGUACAAAAUCCUUGAUGAACCUUCUCGCUGUGGCUGUUAAUUGGUGCAACCUUCACCUCAUAUAUUGCAGUAGUCAACAAUGUUGUAAGAUAGGUUAAAUUCAACUGCUAAUCAAUCGCAUGUAAAUGUACCGAAGAUGAUUGUUUUCAACUUUUCAUUCUGUAUCAUCUUUUGCUAUUUAUUUGCCUCUGGCUCUGAGCUCUUUUUAAUUCACAUAUAUAUGGCUUGUACAUGUUGUACUUCAUUGCACCUGCUUCGCUGAUGUUACUUCUCAUAGUGCUCAUUUCAUAACGGGUUCUGCGGUUUUAAAAAGAUAGUGUGCAUGACAAUUUGAUCUUAGAUUGGCGACCUUAGAUUGUGUGCAUGACAAUUUCAUAACAAUUGCUUAGAUUGGCAACCUUUGUUGCACGUAGACUGUAGCCACUGCAUGUAUUACUGAAUAUAGAAAUUGCAGCUGUUUUAAUACACACAGAUUCCAGAUGACUUCACUUGUAUUCAAUUCUAUCAUGCUAUUAUUUGAAAACUCACAAUCCUAACAUCUCAUAAACUGUUGACUUUUGCAGGUUGCAUGCGCAGGCUCUAACCCUUGCUGCAUUGGUUGGUUCUGCAUGUGUGGAGUACUAUGAUAACAAAUAUGGUUCUUCUGGGCCUAAGGUGGACAAGUACACAAGCCAAUACCUGGCACACUCGCAUAAAGAUUAAGAUCUCCAUGUUCAUUCCUGCAUAGCGGAUUAAUUUUGGGCUCAUUUCUGGGUGCUCAACUGCUCAUUAACUAUGUCCCUGGAUGCUGGAUGGUUCUCUUUGCCCCCUUAUUAAUGCAAAAUGACAGUGUACUUGCCAGGGCAUUCCUGGGAAAUGGCAUAGAGGGUGUAAUGGUGAUAUCACCUUCAUAAUUUAGCCUCAGGUUGCAUUAUGCAACAUCACAUUGUGAACCUUCCUUGGAUGUUUUUAUCUUUUUUCCCCAAAGAAAAGCAAAGGAGAGAGAUCCUGGUUUUUGCCGAACUGUUUUGUGUUCUCUGUCUCUUGUUCAUGCGUGCUUGUAUGCUGCUGGCAACGCAAAUCAGAGAUGCUUUUAACGAUGAUUUGUAGUUGUGGAUAUGUACUACUCGCAAAUUACAACUUUAUUAUAAUAAAAUUCAGCCUAUGCUCUAUACAAAAUCAACUCAUUUUGUGGUCCCUUCUUUUGAGAAAUUUUGUGGCGUCUUCCAAAGAAUUGAAACGCUAGAAUUUGUGUGGUCCGUUAAAAUUCUAGGGGAUCAUUGCGCCUGCUCUCCGAUGCACAAUUUAGUUUUUUAAAAAAUAGCCUGCAUAGACGCCGACAGGUGGAGCCCGUCACAUUACGCCUGGUGCGUCAAAACUCGAAGACCCCAACACCUUCCCGGGCGGCGGCGGCGGCGGCGGCUCGAUGCUACCCCGAUGCGGACGCCGGAGACCAUCGGCCCGCUCCUCGCCCGCUACGGUGCGUCGCGGUCGCUGCUCGCGGGGGCGCACCUCCACUCCCACCUCCUCAAGUCUGGCCUCCUCGCCGCCUGCCGCAACCACCUCAUCUCGUUCUACUCCCGAUGCCGCCUUCCGCGCGCCGCGCGCGCGGUGUUCGACGAAAUCCCGGACCCGUGCCAUGUCUCCUGGUCCUCGCUCGUCACCGCCUACUCCAACAACUCCAUGCCCCGGGAGGCGCUCGGGGCGUUCCGGGCCAUGCGCAGCCGCGGCGUCCGGUGCAACGAGUUCGCGCUCCCCGUCGUGCUCAAGUGCGCGCCGGACGCCAGGCUCGGCGCGCAGGUGCACGCGCUGGCGGUGGCCACGGCGCUCGACGGGGACGUCUUCGUCGCCAACGCGCUCGUGGCCAUGUACGGCGGGUUCGGCAUGGUGGACGAGGCCAGGAGGAUGUUCGACGAGUCUGGUGGCGCCAUCAGCAAGGAGAGGAACGCUGUCUCUUGGAACGGCAUGAUGUCGGCGUACGUCAAGAACGACCGGUGUGGGGACGCCAUCGGGGUGUUCCGUGAGAUGGUGUGGAGCGGGGCGCGGCCGAACGAGUUUGGGUUCUCCUGCGUCGUGAAUGCGUGCACGGGGGCCAGGGAUUCGGAAGCCGGGAGGCAGGUGCACGCCAUGGUGGUGAGGAUGGGUUAUGACGAGGAUGUGUUCACAGCAAAUGCGCUGGUCGACAUGUACUCGAAGCUGGGGGACAUUGAUACGGCAGCGGUGGUUUUUGAGAAGAUGCCUGCAGUGGAUGUUGUCUCGUGGAAUGCUUUUAUUUCCGGAUGUGUGAUUCAUGGCCAUGAUCAUCGUGCACUGGAGUUGCUGAUCCAGAUGAAGUCUUCGGGGCUGGUGCCCAAUGUGUAUACAUUGUCUACUAUCCUGAAGGCUUGUGCUGGUGCUGGUGCAUUCAAUUUGGGCCGGCAAAUUCAUGGGUUUAUGAUCAAGGCCGAUGCAGUUUCAGAUGAAUUCAUCGGUGUUGGUCUUGUCGAUAUGUAUGCAAAGGAUGGGUUUUUGGAUGAUGCAAGGAAGGUGUUCAAUUUCAUGCCCCAAAAGAAUUUGAUUUUGUGGAAUGCACUGAUCUCAGGUUGCUCUCAUGAUGGACAAUGUGGCGAGGCGCUGUCACUCUUUCGCAGGAUGAGAAUGGAGGGGCUUGACCUUGAUGUCAAUAGGACAACACUGGCUGCUGUUCUCAAGUCAACAGCGAGCUUGGAGGCAAUCAGUCACACAAGACAGGUCCAUGCUCUUGCAGAGAAGAUAGGGCUCCUAUCUGACUCUCAUGUCAUCAAUGGGCUUAUUGAUUCAUACUGGAAGUGUGACUGCCUCAAUGACGCAGUUAGGGUUUUUGAAGAAAGCUGUCCUGAUGACAUCAUAUCUUCUACAUCCAUGAUAACAGCACUCUCACAGUCUGACCAUGGUGAGGAUGCAAUAAAGCUGUUUGUGCAGAUGCUAAGGAAAGGGCUUGAGCCUGAUUCUUUUGUACUAAGUAGCCUCCUGAAUGCUUGUGCUAGUCUGUCGGCCUAUGAACAAGGAAAGCAAGUGCAUGCUCAUCUGAUCAAGAGGCAGUUCACGUCAGAUGUGUUUGCAGGGAAUGCUCUUGUGUACACCUAUGCAAAAUGUGGGAGCAUAGAGGAUGCAGACAUGGCCUUCUCUGGCCUACCAGAGAGGGGAGUUGUCUCAUGGUCUGCAAUGAUCGGAGGGCUCGCGCAGCAUGGACAAGGGAAGAGAUCGUUGGAAUUGUUCCAUAGAAUGCUUGAUGAGGGCGUUGCCCCAAACCACAUCACUUUGACCAGUGUUCUCUCUGCUUGUAACCAUGCAGGGCUUGUUGAUGAGGCCAAGAAAUACUUUGAGUCAAUGAAGGAGAUGUUUGGAAUUGACAGGACCGAGGAGCAUUACUCGUGCAUGAUUGAUCUUCUUGGCCGUGCAGGGAAAUUAGAGGAUGCGAUGGAGCUUGUCAACAACAUGCCAUUCGAAGCUAAUGCUGCAGUUUGGGGUGCACUCUUAGGAGCCUCAAGAGUUCACCAAGAUCCCGAGCUGGGAAGGUUAGCAGCUGAAAAGCUCUUCACUCUAGAGCCAGAGAAGUCUGGCACACAUGUCCUGCUUGCAAACACUUAUGCUUCAGCAGGCAUGUGGGAUGAGGUGGCUAAGGUGCGGAAGCUAAUGAAAGAAAGUAACCUCAAGAAGGAGCCUGCUAUGAGCUGGGUUGAGAUGAAGGACAAGGUGCAUACUUUCAUUGUCGGUGACAAGAGCCAUCCAAAGGCAAAGGAGAUAUAUGGUAAGCUAGAUGAACUGGGAGAUCUGAUGAACAAAGCUGGUUAUGUUCCAAAUGUGGAGGUCGAUCUGCAUGACGUAGACAAAAGCGAAAAGGAACUGCUGCUUUCUCACCACAGCGAGAGGUUGGCUGUCGCUUUUGCAUUGAUCAGCACUCCAGCUGGAGCCCCAAUCAGAGUCAAGAAGAAUCUGCGCAUAUGCAGAGAUUGCCAUGUUGCCUUCAAGUUCAUUUCAAAGAUCGUAUCAAGGGAGAUUAUCAUCAGAGAUAUCAAUCGGUUCCAUCAUUUCAGAGACGGGACAUGUUCUUGCGGUGAUUAUUGGUGAAAAUGGUUUUGUCAGAUGAUAAUUUUGUUGCUUGUUGAGAAUUCUGAUGGUUAGAGCAGUUACAUGCCUUCAUGGAGGCUUAUAGUUUCACAAGAUUUUGUAGCCAGUCAGCUGAGUGAUGCAAUGCAAUUUUUUUGUUGACAUACCCGCAGCCAUGCAUUUUGCAGUUGAAUCUGCACUUUGUAACAUAAAAAUGUUCCUCAUGUACACUGCUUUUUAAGCAUUCUUAUUCAUUUUUUUAUGGAUACAGCAAAAGGGGAGAAAACUUCAGUCGCUUGCUCUUCCCUAAGUAUUUGAUCCAGCUAUUGGCCAACUCUUCUGUGCGUGUAAUGUGUUUCUAGGGGAAAAUGACAACCGUUAUGUCAAUUAAAAGGAUUUGCACAUUGAGAAGGAACUUAUAUUUUCUUGAUCUUGUUAAAGGUAGACCCUGUUGUUCUAGAUUAUUACUUUUUUUUUGCCUCUUGAAUUGUGGAACUCAUCAGGUAAGCUACUUGUCUCAGCUUUUCAUGCUGAUGCAGUCAUUAUCCAGAAUUGAUGGCAUGGUACAAACUUGUUAUAAGAAGUCUUAUAAGUGUUGAUUGUAAACUCUUCCUGCUGUUUAUUCUAGAUUGUGGUAUAAUUCGUACCAAACAUCUGCAUAUAUUAAAUUAGCUCAGCAAUUUGGGCCUGCAUAAAAAGUUAAUAGCUGACUGGUAGGGUUUUUUUAUCCGCCCCAAACAUCCAGGAGUAGCAUCUGUUUGCUUGUUCAUGUUGAAUUGAACUACAGAUUUUUCGUUAUAUUCUUAGAAUUGUGUUUGUAUCAACAUUAGUCUCUAAAUAUCUGUUUUAGUUAUAAUCUAUAACACAGCUGCACAUUAUGCAAUAUCCCCUGAGGCCAAUGUUGGCGCCCAUAGAGUUAAAUGAGAUAUGUGAAAAGGUACACCCCCAAUUAACUGCAUAUGUUCUAGUGUUGUGGGGAAUUUCUUUUAUUUAACAUAUAUUUAUCUUAAUUAGCUAAAGGAUUAUGAGUAUAACAGGUUCGAGUUGGAAGUUGAUUUGAGUGUCAAUACACAGUGAAAAUUAUGACCAUGAAGCACCUUUGAGACUGACAAAGUAGGUGAGUCUUUUUAAUCUUGCAAAAUCACAUGACCCACUAUUUUAAUGUACAUAUCAAUAUCAGCUCAGUGAUACCCUUUGGCAGAGUUGAAUUUGUGUUCGCUGCUGCCUUGUUGAUUAAUUCUGAUCAGUGUCAAUAAAAUUAUCAUAUUUUUAUGUUUAAUGUUUGGCAAUUGCAUGGUUGUCAUUUUCUUGACGAACCUUAGAUUGUUCUUAGUUGCGUGAUGGUUGCUUUACUUGAUAUGCAUUUGUUCUUUACUAAGAACUUGAUAUUCUUCCUUCCGUAUUAUGUUUUUACUGGUUAGUUUGUCCCCUGCUCUUUGUGGUCGUUGCGAUUGAUUAUGAAUUUUCUUAUUAGUUGCGUGCACCAAUCAGUUCAACUUAAAAGUUUAAACUGAUGAGAAGAGGUCUCCAACAUUUAUACAAAAUAACAUCUAACUGUUGGGUGUUUGUUUUACUAUCGUGUAAUCUCCGGUUGGUUCAAUGAGUAUGCCAGCAUUUAGAUCCGGUUGUAUCUAAGGCUCUGUUUGGCAUGGCUCCAACUCUGCGUAGAGCUGCUCUACUCCAGAACUCUAGGUAGAGCUAGCUUUGGGUGGAGUUGAAGCGGUUUAGAUGGGGUGUUUGGCCAGAAGAGUGCUCUCAGCUUCAAAAAAGAUCGAUUUCGGUGUGGAUUGCCAUUGUUGCCCCCCAAUUUAGGUCCCACUUGUCAUCCUCUCUAUCCCCAUCUUCUUCUUCCUCAGAAGACGCGGGUAGGGGUCGGGCGGCCGGCAGCGGCGGGGUGCAGACGCGCGGGAGCUGUGUCUCAGGGCAGUGGCCUGGUCCAGCGGUGGAGGAGCCCCGCCCAGGCGAGAUAGGGGCGGCGGGCUAGUGGGGCACGUGCUCGUACCGGCGGGGUGGGCGGACGGCGGGGUCCGCAGCGGGGUGAGCAGAAGGUGGGGCAGCUGCGGACGGUGGACAGCAACAGGGGUCGGGCGGCCGGCGGCGGUCAGGAGGGGUAGCAGGAGGGGUCGCCCCGCGGUGCGUUGAUGGGUGGCAGGGGAGGAAGACGACGGCCGAUGGCAAGGGAGGAAGACAGGCGAGCGGGAGGGAGUCAGGGGGGAAGGCUCGCGAGAAAAGAAAGAAACCAUUUUUUGUGUAACCAUUGGUAUUGGUGGGUAAUUACUCACCAACUCCACAAGGAGGUUCAUAUUGGGUGGUUUUAUAGCUGCAAAAGAGGUGCUCCAAAACUCCACCUCUAUUUGCACUACAGCUCCAUGGAAUUUUGGAGCUGGGGUGUUUGGUUAGAAAAUUUGCUGGAGUUGCUAAGUUCAGCUCCAGAGCUAUGCCAAACACACCCUUAGAGUUAGAGAUAAAGAUUAGUUGUGUUCUUUGUAGAGAGAACCCACAUGUUAAUGGUAGAUCCUUUACAUUGCAAAACACUGGAUAAGAAUAAUUUUUCAUUGUAUUAUAAAAAGGUAUCGAUUCGAUCUCACAUCCACUUUAUCCUAAACACUAAUUAAUACUCCGUUUCAAAAAUUGUUGGUCGUUUUGACAUUUCUAGGUGUAUAAUUUUUAUACAUCUAAAUAUAGUCUAUGUCUAGAUGCAUAAUACUCAUCCAUCCCAAAUUAUAAGUCAUUCCAAGAAUCUUGGAGAGUCAAAGUAUCUCAAGUUUGACUAAAUUUAUAUGAUAAUAUAAUAACAUUUAUGAUGUCAUCUAAGUAUCAUUAGAUUCUUCAUCAAUUAUAUUUUUAUAGUAUACCUAUUUGAUGUCAUAAAUCUUUAUAAUUUUCUCUAUAAUUUUGGUCAAACUUGAGAUGCUUUGACUCUCCAAGAUUCUUGAAAUGACUUAUAAUUUGGGAUGGAGGGAGUAAUAUUUAUGAACUUAUAAAAGCUAAAACAAUCUACAGAGGGAUUAAAAGAAUAGAUAUAAGUGUAUGUGUUUUCCUUCAUUUUCCACUCAAAUCCUAUCAAAAAAAUAUUACUAAUCUAUGAGCCACUUUUAUACUUUUUUUGCGAGUAACCACUUUGACACUUAGUAUUCCUAUUUUUAGAAACUGCACCUUGGAACAAAAAAGAAGGUAUACAUUGUAGGCUAUAGGUUCUGGAUUAAGUUAAUAAUAAAAUAGACAUAAUUUGCAAGAAACGGUCUUUCGUGUGUCUAUAUAUAUAUGCUCUGCGGUCUUUCGUAGAUAUACAUAUGCUCUGCCGCCCUAGCUAAACUCACCGAUAGCCGAUCAUGCAGCCAGAUACCAAUAGCAGCAAAAAGUUAUUGUUGUCGAAUAAUAUUUACACGAGCUAAAGCCAGCCCACAAGUCCUGCAUUCCGGCAAAACUUAGCGACAACUUGUAGAACUAUUCUUUUACAGAAGGAUGAAAGGGAGGUUCCUCCGUGUAUCUAAGCACCGGGAAGAAUAUGAACUACAAUCUAUUGUUCACAGUUGAGAGGUUAUACUGAUACACAAAGAGGUAGAAGCACACAUCCAAGAAUCCUUUACAAGUAACACUUAGUUGCCUAAGUCUUCCUAGCUUUGCUUCGUUUGCUGUGGGUUGGCUCUUGAAUCCAGCCUUCUCAAUCUGAUAUUGCGAACAAUAGCAGCUUGCUUCUGGCGAUGACUGUAGCUUUUCCUUUUGCUGCACAGAUAAAUGAAAAUUUGAGCUUUCAAAGAAAAGUAGUGGCACCAAUUGCAAGCUUCCAAUCUUCCAUCUUAGCAGGAAUCAAUUCAACACACCCUGCAAGAUUGUAGCAAGAAAAGGGGACAAAACUCGAAGUGUUGCACUUUCCAUAGGGUUUGGCUGGAGCUUCAGCGCUCCAUGAACUACUCCAUCGGCCACUCAUCCCGGAUUCGUAGUCUGAGGUUUGGGUUGUGGCCGUUUCUUAAAUGUUAAUGUUUGUGACACGUCUGUAACUGGUUAAGUUUUGUGUGUGUGUGGGAGCGGGCAAUUUGCCUCUCCUGUGUAUUAUUUUUCCUCCUCUUAAUGCAAUGACAUGCAGAUCUCUUGUGUUGUUCGAGAAAAAGAAUUGUUCCAUUCAUCUUCUAUAUGCUUAUGCAGUGCCUAUUCCAAAAAUACAAAACAUACUUUUUCCAAACAGGACUACAGGAACUAAUUAUGCAGAUAAUUUACUACCCCUUCAUAAAGAAUAUGAAAGAGAAGGAAAUAUGAAAGACCUGAUAAAAAUGAGGCCCGCGGUGAGGACCAUUCCUCCAAUUGCCCAUGAAAUUCUUUCACCGACAGGCAUAUCUCUUGCCCAUCUCUGGAAAUCUUGAACAUUCCAAGAAGCCACACCGCUUAAUGUUGGACGGUCUUUUGAAGAAGUCCAUGAAUCAGAGAUGGAAUCCAAACUCGCUUUACCACCAUAGCAGAAAGUGUCAUCAACUAAACCAGAGUUGGUCUCAGAAACUUGCACAGAGAAACCAGCAAGAUGACAUAACUCUGUGCCAUUAGAAACCCAUUUAUGUGCUUUGCCACAAAGGAUGUCACCUAAACCACAAGGAGAUAAGGCCUGACAAAAGAAGUAAGGAUAACUUUUCAGAACCAAACUGUGAAAUCAUAACCAACAAAAAGAUCACAAGGUGUUAAGGCUAAGAAUUUCCUACGUACUGAGGAUUAUUCAAGAAGAAAAGGGAAAUUUCACAGAAUCAAUAGCUAUUCAGAAUGUAUAGAACAGACAUGGGUUAGAACAUGACUGUUUAUUGUAGGAUCUAACCAUAAAAAUACCAAGCUUAAUCUAGCAAUGACACUUGGAUUUUGUAUGACAUUACAUGAUUGAGGUAUCAGUACCCACUACCCAAUUGUAUCAUUGAUCUCUAAUCAGAGGGUCUUUAGUCUUACCUGUGUUUUCAUAUCCACGGAGAAGUACGAUUCUGAACAAGCUUUGAAGACCAUAUCACAGAAUGACGCACAUACAACAGGAGGUCCAGGCCUGACACCCACGCGUGGAUCACAUAUUGAGCAUUCAAGCAAUUCCCACAAAUGGAUACAUUCUUGACCGCCUUCACCAGUUAAUGCAAGGUUCCUCACAGAGACCAGAGCAGGAAAUGUCUGAGUCACAUCGCAACAUGUAUUCUGACGGAAUAUCCUACACAGUGCUAGAUCUCUGCGCCCCUUCGGUGCCCUUCCAGGAGGCUUGCCUUCAGAUGAAAAGGCAGGAAAUCGUCCACCAGGUGAAACACAUACACCUUUUGGUUGUCCUGUGGAGAAAAAGUAUGUGAUAUAAAUCAUUAGAGUAACGCUCCCAUAGUAUUCAUUUACUGAGGAAUCAGCCAUGGUAACUACAAGCGAUUCUAUCUUAACUAGGAUCAUUUGAUAUCAACCACAAUAUUCAUAUAUAACUAAGCGAAUCAAAGAUACUGCUUGGCAUGCGGUAGCAUAAGCAUUGCUCAUCAGUGUAAGUGUUACAAGCAGCAGUAUUAUCAUAAAUCCGAAUUAUAUGGCAGUAAGGUAAACACAGCCAGUAAUGCAGCUUAACUUAAUUCAUAACUCAUCUAACAGUUUCUUUCAAAAACUGUCCUCUGCAGUAUAAAAUCUGAAAGUUCGCAAAAUGCAGACAGUAAAUUCAGAGUGAUGAGGCCUAAAGUACGCACACGUAGCCAUUUCUAAAUUACCGUCCCUUCUUCGCUAUACAUACAUUUAGCAAAAUCUACACUGCUUACACAAUUCGAGCGACCAAGCACACACCAGCAAGGAUCCAUACAAAGGCGCGACAAGAAUAUCUAGCGCCAUGCACGUAAACUUAGAAAAAACACUUCCCCUCCACAGCUCAAGUAAACGGAACCAAAUAAAACAAAAACUAUAAAUGAGAUCUCGAGUACUCCCAGGCGAGGCGACUGGUCGUACCAGCUGACGCGACCGGCGAGAAGAAGAGCAGCGCCAGGAGGAAGGCGAAGCUGGCCGCGGGUGGCGGGCGCGUCGAAUACCCCAUCGGAAGCCGCCUGCCCGCCCCGCCGGCGGGGUGCUCGCGGCAGCCGGGGGAGGUCGGCGCGGCGGAUGGGGAUAGGCGGUCGACGAAUCGAUGCGCUUCCCGGCGUCUGCGACUCUGGAGUCUGGACCAUACAAGUCAACAAGGCUCCUCGCCUCCUCGUCAAGAAAUGGGCCGGACGCGACGCGAGGCCCAACAUAAGAACACGGCCCGGUUUCGCUUCCAGAACUCCCAGGUUGCCGCUCGCCCGCAGCCGCGCGGCGUUUGUUGGAGAGGCAACGCAUUAGUCCCGCAUCGCUUGGCGAGAGCGGAGCGCGGAGAGGGAGAGCUACAAAAGGAGGGGCAGGGCACCUGACCAACUCAUACCUUUCUCGGCCUUUUGGCUAAGAUCAAGUGUAGUAUCUGUUCUUAUCAGUUUAAUAUCUGAUAUGUGGGCCAUGUGCCCACUUCGAUAUUAAAUUUAUUUUUUGUGGGGGAGGGUCCACCACAGUGGCUUGCCACUGGGGUCCUCGAGCGUCGCCCAGCCGUUGCACUGCUGGCAGGGCCUGGCGCACCCCAACCAAAGAAAAUUAAAAUUUUUUUAUGUUUAUUUGGGCCGCUGGUCUCUAUUUUGGCUGAGGCCUUUUUCUUGGGCCUGAAUGUCGUCAACACAUGUGCCCUGCUAUUUGAAAAAUCGAAAACAAUUAUUAAUUCUGGUCAAGCACGAUUUUCCAAUACAUCUUCUGUUUAGCUGCAUGAUCUAAGGGCAACCUAAUAUUUCAUGGGUGAAUUCAACCUGGCGCUUUAUCGCAGGUCAACUUUUAUUUAACUUUUCUUAAAUAAGGGUCGCAGUUCAACCUUUUUUUAUAUAAGGGUCUCAGCGUUUUAUCGCAGCUCUAAUCUGAAAUCAGUAAGAGCAGCUCUUCACAAAAAAUUCUUCCUCAAAACGAGAUAUUGGGGUUAUACUAAAAACACAAUAGAACUCUAAAAACUACCUCCAAUAAUUCAAAACAGGCCACGUCAUCGUAUCGGGUCCAUUAGAAUUCGUUGCUUUUUUUCCCACCACCGUGACCUCCAUGGCGUGGUCCUUGCAGGCGGUGAACUGCUGGGCGAGCACCCACUGCGCGUCAUCGUCGCCUCCGUCGCCAUUGCGGUAGCGGUGCAGGGUCCCCACGUACUCCGACGGGAGGUGGUUGCCGAUGGAGAAGCCGAACGCGGGGAUCCAGCGACGGGAGGUGGACACCGCGGCGCGGGAGUCGCCGACACGGGAGAGGAUGACGAUGAGGAGCUCGUCGGGGAGGGCGCAGAGCCAGUCAGCAUGGUCGCCGCAGCAGGACCCGUCGGAGAGGCGGCGCUGACCAGGGGAAAAAACACGCGCGGAGGGGGGCGGGGUGGGAUCGGGGAAGACCGGGGUGUCGCGAAUAUUUGCAGGACGAGAGCUGUUUUUUCGCGUCGAAUCUUAUAGGGAGUUUUAGUGGACUGUUGGAGUUCUUUUUUCUUUUUUUUUCUAAAAAAAGGUAUUGGGGGUAAGAUUAGCAGCUUUUUGGAGUUGCUCUAAUGCUACUAAUCUUACGUCCACGCGUCCAACUCCACACCACACAUAUAUCCUUUUAUCCUUCCGCUCAUUUUUCUAGACCGGCUUCUCCAUGUUUGAUCCUCCAUGCACAUCGCUUGCUUGCAGCCCAAGCUUUCCCUAUGUCGCGCCUCCCUAAUCGCUGCCGGUGCCGGCGCUCUCAGCUCCCUCCCCUAUGCUACCCCUACUUCCCCGCCGUCAUCCCUGCCCCAAAUCAUAGAAGAGGCCACCAGGUCCUGCUCCAAGGGGCGAGCUGUGCCGGCCAUCGGAGGAGCUACUCUGCCCGCAAUGGGCUUAGCCGUCGGAGGAGCUCCACGGGGAAGGGUGCUGAGCGCCGCUGCCUCGCGACCAUAGGUGAGCCGCGCCGGCCGCUGCCUUCCUCCUCCUCCACCACCAUUUCCUAGCAUCGGAUCCUGCUAUACAGUGCUCCUCCUACUAGGGUUUACUACAUGUUGCAAAAGUAUAUUUUAAGUGUUUCAGAUGUUUUAGAAGAAUGUUGCAAGUGUUUUAUGUGGAUGUUGCAAAGUACAUCUAGAUGUUGCGAUGUUGCAUAUGUUUCACACACAUGUUGCAAGUGUUUUAUCUGGAUGUUACAUUUUUAACGAGAUAUUUGAAUGUUCCAUGCAACACGAAACAGAUGUUGCGGCAAUUUUUUUCCUCAUCAUUAACAGAUGGCUAAUAAAUUUUUUCAACAUAUUUUUUGAUGUUGCAAAUGGUAAUUUUCUAUGUUGCAAACGUUUAUUUUUUAUGUUGAAGAUGUUAUUUUUUGAUGUUGUGAUGGACCAACGGACGUACAAGCGCCCACGCCCAUCUUAAAUAUAUGACGUGAUGGAGUAGCUUGUAGCUACUGUCAGUACGCAGCAUGAGGCCAUGAGCCGAGGCAUUCUUGCCGCCGAUGUGAGUAGUGAACACAGACGACCCUUAUUCCAGUAAAUUACCAAAGACAAGAGGCAUGAAGCCUGGUCAUAUGGAAGGACAUGCUAAUAAUAAGCUCUCUGAAAGAUCAUCAUCUGGUACGAUAACAUCACCGGAAUAUUGAGCUAUUUGACACAACGGAAGAAUGCAAAGGUCGAAUCCAAGAAGAAGAACGGACGAAAAAGAGAAGUGGCAUUCCACCUCCAUGAACCGGAGAUACCGCCAACCUUGUACAUACGGUGCACACACAAGAAUACAAGAUCUAACUCCGGUCAGCGAUAGGCCUUAGUCAGCGACCCACCUUUUAACCGCAGUUAGUUUCGCUUGCGUAAAGCUAAUCUCUAUCGGAGGUGAGAGGCAUGACAAAAGGCUCCCCGCUAAUUACUCGCUCGAUCCUGAUCCACUUCAGACGUGGGGCCCAAGAGCGGCGGGGUCCAAGUCAUGGCCAUCUUAUCCGGUACGUCCAGCCAGAUGCCACGUACUGGUCGUGCAGCACUAGCAUCUUCUUGUGCGUGCGCUCGGACCCACGGCGAUGAGCUGUCAGAUACUCAUCUACACUAAUCUACUCUGCUUAACCCACUGUUAAUCCCAUCCUCCAUGAUUAAUGCUCUCUUGGAUCUCUGGUUCUGCCCAAAGCAAUAGCCUGGCCGCGCUAAACUCAUCACGUACGGCUGUUCAAUCAGUACGCGACGGAGCCGCCGCCGCCAGCGACUCGCCGGCUGCCGCGCGCGGUGGCGGCACCUGCACCAUUGGCGCAGCAGCUGCUGCCGGCGUCCUCGUCCAUGAAGAUCUGCUGGCGCCGGCACUCCUCGCUGCAGAACGCCCGGUCGCCUCUGCAAUUGCAUGCACGCGCCACGAGUCAAACAUAUGUACAAAGAUUUUUUUUCCCGAAAGAUAAACACAUGUGCAAAUAUACUCCAUAUAUGAGCUAGCCAACCAGAAGAAUGAGCUCACAACCGCGGAUCAAUCUGGACGCCUUCUUCUCAGCGCAUCUUAUUAGCUUAUUACCUGUACAUGUAGAUGUCCCUGCCCUCGGCGAGCUCCCUGUGGCACAGGCAGCAGCGCUGCAGGAAGGAGCUCGCCGGCGGCGGCGGCGAGACGUGCUUUUGCUUGGGGCCGUGGAUCAAGAGGGUGGCCUUGCUGAUGAUCUGCGCCGGCGGCUUCUUCCCCGGGUGGUUCUUGUGGGUGGUCUCCAGUACUACACUCAGCCCGGCCAUGGUGCCAGAACGCAGAGAGUAUGUGGACUACCGUAGUGGAUGGAUUUUGGAUGCAGAAUCUGUUUUUUCCCCCCUUCAGUUUCACUUCCUCCUUUCCUUUGCUUGUGAGAGAUCUUUUGUCCUUCAUGGAAGGGGAGUUCACCCGGUGCUUAUAAAGGAGGAGGAAGGGGUGUGUGUGUGUGUGGUAGGGUGCGUCCAAGCAGCUGGUCAAGGAGGACGUGGAUUCCGAUUGGAGAGUGAGCUUGGCACUGUCAUCCUAACACGUCUGCCAGCUCACCUUGGAUUUGGUGACCAGACAGUUGAUUUCUGCUGAACCUUCUUCAGUUCAAAGGAGACCACUUGUACUAAUGUUGCGCAUUGUUUUACGUAUAACCGUGAACAAACUUUUCAAACAUACCAUGAUUCGGUACUAAUCAUAUUUAGGGCGUGGAGCAUUGUUACUUUCUUUUUCCCUUUGUAAGCCUAUCAUCCAUCAAGGGUGAAGCUAAGCUUCGAGAUUUCCGCUGACUGUGCAGCGUAGUUCAUUAACUUCACCAGGAUCAGUUUACACGCAAAACAAAAGUAUUCUUAAGAUCAUGUUUCCCUUUUUUUCUUCCGAAGGAGAGGCCAGGUUUGAAGGUGGACUUGACCAAAGUUAAAAAAGGGCACAUUUCAAUAAGAAUAAAAAGCAACAAAGCACAAAUAUAUGGAUAAUUUUAACAACUGUGCAAGUGCUCCACAUCUGGAUAAUGCUGGGUACACAACCAGCUAAUCGCAGUGGAGCUCCAUGGCUACACACUCAUACCGCCUCUCCUUCCAAGUUGUGAAGCGUUUGCACUGAUCGAUCCAUUCCAAAUUUCCAAUGCAUCAAUCAUCAGUGUGCAUGGGCCAUACUGCCAUAGACAUGGAGGGAGGCAGACUUGGAGCACCGAGCCACCGAGCAGCAACGGCAGAGGCUGCGGCGGCCUGUGGCGCUUGCCCUGCGCCGAGGCUGUGCGUCCGCUCUCAUCCCUCCACGUGUAGGCCACAGGACUCCGUUGUCGCUUGCGGCGUACGGAUCCACUGUGCCCGCAUGUGCUGCGGCCGGGCCUGCCCUCAACCGCUUGGUUCAAUGGCUCUACGCCUCUACGACGGCACGGGCCAGCCAUCAAACGACCGGGGCACCCACCUGUUCACCCGUAAUAGUUUUGAGUCCACCUUCACGAUUGUGGCACUAGAAAUGCAGUACACUAGUACUGCAAAUGUAGUGAGAGUUCCCGCGCCGCCCUGCACUUUGCUAGCUUUAGCCUCCAAUGUCGUGAGCUUGGCCGAAACAAAUAUCACAAUUGAAAGAAUGUGUAUGAAAAAUCUCUUUUUAGUAUUAUUUAAGGGACACCUUAACUGUACCUUUAAAGAGUCCAUGACACGUGAGAUCAGAUUCAUGAUGAAACUAGGAUCACAAGAUUAGAAAAGCCAACUAUACUAAUCCAUUCUCCUUCAUAAAAAGGCUAAAUAUAAAGGGUAAUUUUGCUCCUGGAUACUCUUCAAUGUUAGUUUUAGCUAGUACAUUACUCAAAUGCAUCUUCGCUAGUGGACACUCUUUAAUUGUGAUAAUUUGUUGAUAGACACCGGAUCAAUAAAAUAUUAUUUUUUAUGAGAAGAGAGAGAAAUAUGGUGAACGGACUAAAAUGUCCAUCAAUUAAGCGGGAACCACAUGUCAGAUUGGGUAGGGACUAGAAGGACGUGUUUUUGCUGGGCCAGGUACAUUGCCUUGCUCAACUCACCUCGCCGAGCAUGGAAUGGAUAGAUAACGUUUGGAAAGUUUGCGUCCCUUGUUGUGCUGUUCAUGUUUCCCUUUCCUUUGCUCUCCAAGAACAGCGGAGUGUCCGUUUCAAGGGAAAAAAAGAACAGAGUCUCCUUUCCUAUUUCCUCCCAAGAAUAGCAAGAAGAAGCGGAUCCAGAGCACGUUGCAGCCAAGAAAACAAGCCAGUUUCAAAAAAAAAAAUAGAAGAAAGCGAAAACCAGGUCGGGGUGGGGAGAGCCGAGCAAGAAAUCCCCCUCUUCAAUCUGACACAUGAGCCCACUCAAAUGAUGGGUACUUUAGUCCAUUCAUCAUAUUUCUCUCUCUUCUCAUGUAAAGAAUAAUAUUUUAUUAGUUGUGAUGCCCACGGGCAAAUUGUCACAAUUAAAAAGUGUCCACCAACAAAGAUGCAUUUGAGUGAUAUCCACCAGCAAAGACCAACAAUGAAGAGUGUCCAUGGGUAAAAUUACCCAAAUAUAAAUAUGGAUGUAGUAGAAAAAAUAAGCUGCGGGUAGGCCUGCUAGUGGGGCGGGUGAAAACGAUUUUUUUCGGGUAGGGUCCUGAGGUGGGUCUUGUGUAGACGGGUGAGAAUGAGUUUUUGAGACUAACUGGGCGGAGCGGAGAGGAUAAUACUAGAAGUGCGGGUUGGGGCGAGUUAGAAUGGGUCCACUUGACCUUACCUGGGUGGGUUCUCACGGUGGGUGUUCCGCCAGUCACGACUCGCGUCGCUCGUGCAAGAAAGGGAGAUAGGCGACGCUGCCGCUGCCGCCAGCCGCCGUCGCCCCGGCCACUCCCGCGCGUCCUCCUCCAACCACGACGACAGAUUGGCGGUACGCCUCCUCCUGUAGCUCUCCUCUCCUACCUCCUCCUCUGCAGCAUCCCUUUCCUCUUUUCCUCAUCCUCUUCCUUUCUUGGUAGGGUUUGAUUUGAUUGUCUAGCGUCUGCAGUGGCGGCCUCGAGUCCUACAUCCAGCGGGAGAAGCCGAGGAGGUGCUGUGUAUCACAAGUUAGAGUACAACGGCUGCCGUGAUUUGACUCCUACUAGAAGUGGUGCCGGGUGCUGGACUGAUGGCAGCCCAAGAGAUGCAGCUUGCCUAGGUGCGAUUGAUUUUUCUGAUUCAAUUUGAUUGACCCUCCUAAUCGAUUGUUAGUUUGCGACACGUGCUUGGAUUGAAGGCGAAGCAAUUAAACUCCAUUUGCUUCACAUCCGAUCUUUGGAUAUCAAACCAAAAGUUGGGAUAUAUUUGUUUGGUAGCACAUUUUAUUGACCCUGAUUUUAUUUUGAAGAUAAAAAUUAUUGCAUUCAAGGAUGUUAAGUAUCCACAUAAUGGUCUAGCUAUUGAGGAAGCCAUUACAAGAUGUCUAACAGAUUAUGGAAUCAAAGAGAAGAUGUUUACGAUCACACAUGACAAUGCGGCAAAUAACAAGGCAACUUGUGAUCUUCUCCAAGAAAGUGGAAAGCGUGAUAUGUUAUUUGAUGGUGAGCAUCUUCUUGUUAGAUGUUGUGCUCAUAUACUCAACAUUCUUGUGCAAGAUAGUAUAGGCAUUGCUGAUGCUGCAAUAGAAUCGAUAAGAGACCUGGUUAGGUAUGUUAAUUCGUCAGCAUUGCGAAUCCAGGCUUUCAAUGAGAUUUGUGAAAGGGAAUGUCUUCCUGCAAAGGUUGGUUUAGUGCUUGAUGUUCCAAACUGGUGGAACUCAACACAUGCCAUGAUUCUUGAGGCAGUUGUAACACCCGAGUUAGGGUUAAACAACUUCACUUAAGCAAAAUGAGCACCAUGGCAUUGCAUCAAUUUCUUUUCUUGUUAAGAAAAUGGGGUUUUCAAAUUUUUGUUGGUUGUUCUCCCAACUUAAGUUUUGAUUCUGAGGUUUUUCCAAAUUCAUGACCCCUCCUAUCAUCCUCCCUUCUUUCUGUCUUCUUUGGAAUCCUUUGUUCGGGCCGAUGGGUUCCACCCGAUGGACGCCGCGUCGUGCAUCAUUCCGUCCAGCGCCAAAAGUCAGCGCUCACAUGACUGAAAUCGCACGCCGUUCCACCUCGUCCCAUCGCCAACCACUCCAUCACCCACACCUCUGCGCGCUACUGCUCAUCCACUGUAGCGUUGACCCCGCCCCGCACGUGCCUGACACCACCGCGGACUGCCAGAACAAACGGGUAACCAUUCCAUGUAAAUAGCUCCCGCCCGAGCAGGCCUUGCUCUUCCGCUCCCUUUCACCUCUCCACUCUUCCUCGGCCAAGAGCUAGAAAAAGCAAGCCAAACGAACUCUUCUUCCACCACCUACGCUCAAAAGCUCUGUCCAAACUUCCGAUUCACCGUCGCCCCCACCUCGCCGACACUCCCAGUUAGUCUGCAACCUCACCGGCCGCUGCCAGAGUUUCUGGAGCCAAGAAGAGAAGUGUUGACGGUUCCAUCACCCUUGUGUUCCACCCUUUCCAGCCCCUUCUUCUCCAAAACAGAGUUUUUGGGUAAGUUCUCAUCGAGGCGUUGCGUUUUCUGAUUUUUUUUCAGGUAGUCGAGAGUCCCACGACGGCGCCUGUGUGCAAGCACCACCGGACGUGUGUACUCCGAGUAGUUUCGGAGCCACGAGUAGUUGGAGGAGUGUAUCUGAGUUAUUUCAAGGCUGCUUGUAGUCGGUUGGGUACCAACCGAGUUGUUUUCUGAGGGCCGUGAGUAGUCUAAGGUCGUGCUAGAUUAUAGAGAAGGUAGCCAAAGUAGUCAUCCGAGUAAUCAAAGGACCCUUCUACCGUUUGUUCAAGGGUAAUCAGUAGGCAGUUGAGUUGCGUAGAGUCUUAGUGUUUCCGUGGUUUCUAAUCCGGUAUUUUGGGUUGUUUCACUUUUCAAAUCGCAUGAUGUGCAUGUAUCUUAUGUUUCCUUCAACUCAUAAAUAUGCAUUGUUGUGUAGAAUCCGCUAGUGGACAGUCUCUACGAGUUGGUGGCCAUGUCCGAGAGUAAACAGCUCAAAGCCUCUUCAGUGGAAGCGCCGCAAGGAUUGCACUAAAGUACGGAAGAGCCCAAGGUUGAUUCCGAAGGCAAGUCCCGGAGCAUAACUCCUAAUUUCAAAACUACCAUGUCUUAUGUGUACUAAUUUUUACUGCAUUAAGUUUUAGGAGUUGAAUGAAACCUUAGUUCCAUGAUCCCUAGGAUUCCCAGGCUCAAAUACUAGUAUGUGCAGGACGAGUAGUGCCAUGCUUAAUCAGGAGCAAUAAAAGUCAAGUGAUCUCUUGUCACUCGCGAGACAUAGGACCUCUCGAUUCAGGGAAAAACUACUCCAAACUGGAAUUGAAAUAUGGAAGAACUGGAGACCGGGCGGAGGCAGAAAGAAAAGAAAGUCUGGAAUGUUGGUUACACUCCGCCCGUGUCGAUUAAGGCCCGUUCGUUGUGGCCGUGCUGAUCAAGUUUGAACUAUACUAUGCACCUGCUGGAAGUAAUAGGUAGUUGAAACUGGUAAAGCCUAGUACCUUAUUGCGCGAUAGUAGUUUGAGUUCGUCUUGAUCCCUAUUCGUGUACUGGUCUGUAACUCAUGGCAGGCUCUAGGAGGUGGGGAAUAGUACUUGAGGGGCGCAGGGGUUCUCAAAUGCCCUCGUUCUUUAAGGGAACCGUUUGUCAUAUGUUGCUCGAUGGGGGCAGAUCAUAUACUGGGUGUAUAGGUCCACCUUGCAAGGUUAUAAAUCGAAUUGAUUCACCGCCGCUCUCGAUUAAGAGAACCUUGAUCUCUUCAUCACAUCGUAGCAAGAAGUGGAAACAUGCUUUGUUAAGCUAUUAUCUUGCUACUUGUUACCUUACCUUGAAAAAGUUUUGCAAAGUUGCUCACCUAACAGUAAUCUAGUUCAAUUGUAAAUGGAGGUUAAAAGUUGAAAGUAAGGAUCCACCCUUACUUGCUUUUGUUGGCAAAAUAAGCCCCUUGGCCCAAAAGCCUUGCAUACUAGAAGUCGGCUAAGUAUAGUCCAUGGUCGGUUAAGUCUUGCUGAGUAUUAGUAUACUUAGCCUUACUUUAUUGAUGAUUUUUAGGGCUUAGUGCUGACUGGUUUGAGCUAGUUGCUGGUCAACCCUGGGACGGCCGUCCUCUACCCGAGGGGUGGUCAGUCGAGUGGUCUCCAGACUCGGCGUAAGAGUGCUUGGGUGAAGGAGUACUCGGACAGAUGACAUGUGGAUGAGCUACCCAUGUCACCAUGUACCUGUUGUCAUCGUAUCGCUUAGACUUCCGCUGUAGCUAUUUUAUUUCCAACUCUGAUUUGUAAUUCGCUGCAAACUUGAAACUUGUUCCAAAACUUGUGUGUACUUAUUUGGUACUUGGUUAAUGAGUACUCUAUUUUGUUAUCAAAUGUUCUAUUGUAUCAUCUGCCCUCACCGUUGCGUGAGCUCUGUGCAUAUGGGUUCGAUCGAAGGGAUCAGUGGUAGAAUCGGGCUUGACCCAACGGACUGUCAGAUUACACCAUUUUAAGUGCACGUUGACUUGACUAGUUGUUUCAAGGAUGGUUAAGUGCACUUAAGCCGGUUUAAUUUAGGCGGUUCCACAACAGCAGUGGAAUACAAGAUUGUACUGAAGCGAUACGCAAAAUUGCAACAGCAACCCAUUCCAACUGAUGAUGAAUGGAGUGGGGCUAAGUCUAUUUGUGAAUUCCUUGCAGGUUUUUGAAGAAGCUACAUUGGCAUUCUUGGCCGAUAGAUUUCCUACAUCACAUCUGUUUCUUGACAAUGUGCUGUUAGUACAUCAAGCUCUAAGAAGUCACGGAUGGAAAGAUGAUCAGGUUAUAAAAGUCUUGGCUAGAGCAAUGGACAAGAAGUUCGCUAAGUAUUGGGAUCAGAAUUACAACAUGUUGCUUGUCAUUGCUACCAUUCUUAUUCCAAGAUAGAAAUUUGAUUUCCUGGACUUCUUCUAUGAGAAGGUUUGUGAGAAUUUAAUUGAUGUUGACUUGAGCAAAGAUUUGGCUAAAUAAUGGCUGCACAAAUAUUACAUAAAGUAUGAAGACAUUGUUAGAAUUGAUACAAAUGCAUAUCUCAAGCUAGUGUGUCUAGGAGCGUGGUGAACUGCUCACCAGUGGUACUGCUUGGCAAGAGAAGACUGGAACAAGAAUUUACUCAAUUUAGCUCUCAGAGGAGAGGGACUCGAACUGAAAGAUCAUAUGCAUGAAGAAUUAGUGAGAGAAGAUGAAAACUUUGAAAUUUUAACAUGGUGGAAGACAAACUCGAACCAGUACCCCGUGUUGUCAGCUAUGGCACGCGAUUUCUUAGCAAUUCCAUUGAGCAUUGUUUCUUCUGAAUCCGCAUUCAGCCUGGGCGGUCGAAUUCUUAGUGACAAUCGAAGCACCAUGAUGCCACAAACUCUUGAAGCUCUGGUUCGCGGCAAAGACUGGUUAUAUAGAUAUCCAUCCAAUGAAGGAUGAUGAGUACUGCAGGUGGUUAACAUAGCUUCUGAAGUGUUGGUACUCGCAGAUUGGAUAAUGAUGCCUUUUUCUGGCAAAAAGGAGGCGAGGAAGAUUGCUUAUGAGGCAAAAGCUUUUUGAAUUUUAAGGAUACAUUGAAGUAUGUGACAUAGAUUGUAAUUUUGCUCUAUUGAACUGCAGCACCAGUCCAGUCGAAGAGGUGCAUGUGGGGGCAUGCUCAGCUCCCACGGGGGCAGUGACCAGUGGGGCAUGCGGCCUGCCCAUGCGGGUUGCCAUGGGUUAACCAAUUUAGGUGGGACGGGACGAGUAGGGUUGAUUAAUUAACUUGUGGGUAGGGUUGGGUUUGCAGCGUUAGUUAGCUAGCUAUGGGUAGGGUUAAGUUAGGGGCGGGUUGGCCCCCGUUAGCAGGCCUAGCUGCGGGGAUCUAUCGUUCCAUUGCUACGUCCCUAUCAAGUCCUACCUAUCAGCAAGACAAGUUGACAACAGAGAUGAAAGUGCAAGUUAAAUAGUGCUAUUGAUACUCUUAUGAUGGAUAUAUGCGCUAACUGGCAUAGAAGUUGAGUGACUCUUUCUAGUCUCACAAUUUCCUCUCUUUCUUAUCUACUUUCAGUCUCAUCCAGUGGCGGACCCAGAAACGUCCAGAAUCGUACCUAGGGAGGUUGAGGUUGAAUGCAUCAGCACGAGGCACCUUGCCAGAAUGGAGGGUCAAGGGCAACGGCCCUAGAUGCUGGACCGGCCCGCUGAGGCACUGACCAUGCAUCAACGCCUGUCCCAGCAGGCCAUUGCCGCACCUGAAGCAAUGCACGAAUGCUGGAGCCUGGGCCCAGGCCGCUAGGGGCACCGCCACACCGACCGUCGCUCCUGCCUGUGGCGGCCCGGGGUCUCCAAUGCCUCGAUUGCCAAUGGGGAUGCCGGCUAUUCUGUUUGGCUAGCUGCUUUGCAGCUGCUGCUACUCAGCAGAGAGCAAGCAGCUGCAGUAGCACGCACCAGCAGGCAGCGGCAGCAGUAGCCAUGCACCAGCCGAACAGCGUUGAAAUGAAAAAAAAAAAAGAUGUGUCGAAACCGAGUAGCGAUGAGGCAGGUAGCUUUGUAGCUACGACGAUGUGUGCUUCUGCUAGUUGGGGCUGGAUCUUAAACCAUGGACUGCUAAUAGUAUGGUUUUACAUAAGGGUACUUGGGGUUCUUUGAGCUGGACAAGGGCUGCUUCCCCAGCUCGGGUCCUAGUCCGCUCCUGGUCUCGUCAUAUAAAAGUAACAAAAUUUAAGGUUAAAAGAAUUCCUUAUAAAGAUUGCACUCUAUAAUGAUCUCGAUGUAAUCGGGUAUCAACCUACAAAUUUAAACAGGAACUUUAAAUGUACCCUAACAUAUUUUGGCACACAAAUUCGCCGUAGAGACAAGUAAGAAAAAGACGGGAUUGGUACGGGGCAGGACAAGAAGCACAGACAGGACUACGGGGUUUGGCAGGCGCAGGAGAAAAGUGGUCUGGCGAUGCAGCUGCAAAAGCUAGUGGUAGUGGCCUCCAGCUAGCUGAAAGCGAAGGAGCGCACGGGUACGGCAGCCUCGUCGUUUGAUGCGCCGCGAGCUUACUGUUCCGACGUGGCGCUAUUAUCCGGAUUCCCCGACGGCCUCCAUUGGUAGGGCUGGCUCUGUUGGCACCAGCAGCAGAUGCAAGAUGCAGCUGGAUUCGAACGGGUUCAGCUCAUCUAGAGUUUGGAGAGCAAUGGCAUGAACUUGGUUGUUAGUUGUCACGGCAGCAAAUUAGAUGGAGGAUCCGAUCACAAUCCAAGGUGUUCGGUUGGACUUAUAAGUCGGCUGAAAAGUUGAAACGGCUGAUUUGUUAGGAGAGAAAAAUAUUAUUCGAUGACUGAUAAACCGGCUGAUAAGCUGAAGCGAACAGAUUGUGCCAAACUAUUUCCUCCUACCCCUCAACCCACCUGUCAGGUUGAGGUGUCAGGUUGAGGGUACAAGGUUUUGACAAAAGGUGAAAAUAACAUUUUAGAAAAUGGUUCUGUCUUUUCGCCGUCAUUUUUUUCACCACGGAAAAAACAUACCCGCCCGUGUAGCGAUUUUCACCUUCCAGAAACCCCGAAGCCUUCCUUUUUAUUGCUUUCCUUCUGUCGCUGGCAUCCCGUCGUGCUUUCCUUCUGUCACUGGCAUCCCGUCGUGCGCCGUCACGCCCUCAGGCCUGCCCUCCACCCGACGUAUGUUUCAGGGUCAAGGUCGGGGGUGCAAGAACAGAUUGGCGGUGAGCGCCCAGCCCAACGUCACUCGAGCGUCAAGAUCCCCACACCGACUCCUACGACGACGACGAUUAUAGCAGAACCUGGCGGAGCGAUAGGCAAGCAAGAACAUAUCGCUGUCCAUCUCCUCUUUCAUUUUUUCCUAUUUCCAACGAUCAUCUAUUCAUCAUUGUUCCGGCGGAGGUAGAAAAGAGGUGGUUUUGCUGUUUACGGUUUGCAUACGUGGUCCUCGCCGGCGGCCGGCGGGCAGCGGGUCGACGAUGAAGGUGGGGAUCUUGUCCAUGAGCCCGUCGGACUUUUCCGAGAUGCAGUACGCACGUGGCCUCGCCACCGGGGCGCGCGGCGCGCCUGCAUCCGCUUGUACCAGUGGUACAUGACCCAGCACUGUGCCACCAGCUGUAGGCCGCGUCGGUGGCCGUAAGCGCCAUGUGGAAUGGCCACGCCGACCCUCGCCGCGCGCCGCCUCGCAUCCAUGCUGACAUCACCACCACCGGAUCCCUCGCCCCCGGCCACGCCGGAGCCGCCGCCACCGCGGAGCAAUGAUGAAGAGAUCGCCGCCUUCCUCCGCUGCCAUGACAUCGUGGGAUGCUGCUUCGCUGCCGUCUCGCCGCUGCUGCAAGCUGCCGAGGCUAAAAACGGGUCUCCAAAGGCUCCGUUAUUUUACUUAUGCAUGAUACGUUUUCGAUACACAUCCCCGUGUGCUGCCAAUACUCAUUUUGCUUUUAAAUCUAUGUGGCUCUCUUAAUUUAUGUGCAACGUCCAAAGUGUGUCGAAAUUCAUGAUGUUUCUCAUUUGGCCUGAUGCAUUGCCAUCAAUCUAACUAUGCUUCACUGGUUUCUUGGGUCUUAGGUGUAGAUUUUUAAGCUAAGUCUGGUUCGUGUUAACCUAUCUUGAUUUUCAAUUAGUUAAAUAUAUAUUUUAGCAGUACUCUACUAUGCUUUGGUGCACGUGUAUAUGACUAUAUGAGGUUCUUGAUUUUGGUCCAAUGAACUUUGCAGACACUUGAUUACCUGAGCGGUUAGUAGAAAGAGCUAUUUCAUGGUUGUCAGGUAAUCGCAUACCAUUAUAAACAUUAAAAUGGAUUGUUUUAACCAUACACAUACACGUGUGAACUGACUUCGUUUAUCAUAUUGGUCUUUAUAAUAUUAGAAAUAGAAUACCACAAAGGUGAUAAUUGUUUCCUACCGAUGGACCAUCGUUUUCCACUUGGUGAUGAGACAAACAUAACAACCUCCAAUUCUCGACGUAUUCGUAAAAGAUCAAGACCAGAGUUUGGUCGACCUGGUUUGUUAGUAGAAGAAACAGCUGCUAGCAUGUUAUACUUAUAUGUUUUUUUUUAUCCAUAUUACUUGGUUUGGUUUUGCCUGGUCUUCGUUAGUUUUGACCAUGGUAUUUUAAAGUUGCAGGUGGUGAAGAAAUUGAAAAUGUUGAUGCAGCAAUAGCAGAACAUAAAAGGAAAGAAAGAAGGGAUAAUUAUGCCAAUUUGCUGGAGGAGGAAAAGGAGAGGAGGCGUGCAAAGGCCAGCGAAAAUUAUCAUCGUAAUAAGACCGAGGGCAAAACAAGCACUACGCCGCAACACUUAACAGGCACAACUUACACAGAAUUAGGUCAAUGUCAUGGACAUCACAGCUUUCAAGUGCCUAGACUGUUAUCACCGGGUUACCACCAUGUUUGCCUGGUAGAGGUAUUAUAUUUUUAGAACAUGGAAUUUCAAAAUGCUUUCAAAUUGCUAUGAACAUGAUUUUUUGAGAAUAAUUAUAUGCACAUAAUUAUUUAAAAAGCAUGGUCCAAAGGAUGAUGGCGACAACUGGCUACAUGGAAAUGAUACUUGCCCAAGGCUAAAUAUGUCAGACUCUAUACAUGCAUGGGUUGGGUUUAAUCAAUGCUUAAUUGGAAAUUCACCUCUGCCACUAUCAUUAGCAGGUUACUAUCUAAAUUAUGCCUUUCGUAAAUGGAUUUCAUUGCCUAGAUGCAAGUUAUGGAUGUAAUUACAUACCAAGGGAUGUUUAUUUUGAUGAAGAAUUUUUACUCUUUGCUAUCAUGCAUUCAAAUGAAUGGCGGAUCCAAUCUCAAUUUUUAUUUUCCUUUCCAAUCUCUUGAGUUAGCAUUACAUUAGUCACGUGGGACAAAUUUUUAUUUAUUUUAUUUGACUAAUGUAUGGAUGAAAAUAUUCAUAGUAUGUUCGUGCACUUUACUAGUUAUACAUAAAACAUUGAUGUGCUUGUGCCAGGCACGGAAAACAAACACACAAUGACGGCAUACACGCACUCGAUUUCAUUUCCUCUUUCUUUUCACAUUUCGUUGGCAUUUUUGCCCCCAACAGCACCCUUAGAAGGUUUCACCAGGCAAGCAGAGGAAGUACCCAGCACGGUAAUUUCAACAUGACAGCAUCAUGAGUUCAUGACCCAAGCUACAAAUCUACUUGUUACAUCACACAACGGUUCGACACGGUAUACCGAGAAACCAAGUACACCCUGAAGAUCGUUCCCUUCAGAUUCCAGAUAUGUCCAGUGGGAAGAGAAGAGUGCCAGAAUUAUGGCCUCUUUGCCAAACUUGAGAAAUCAAAAAAGAAAAUGAAAAAACAAUGCACAGUUUCCUUCAUUCCCAAAGACCAGCACAUCUUGUCGCAAAGAUAUUAAUUGGCACAUAAACAGUCCAGACAUGUUUCUCAGCUUUUCUCACAGAAAUCUUCCUGGUGACCAUCAUUCUUCCAUUCAGUUUCAUCGUCCCCUUCUCCCCUGACAUCAUUCUCAGCAUCGCUUUCACUAGCUGUUUCCCACUCAGAGUCAUCAGCCUCUUGACCAAACGCAUCGCUAGCAUCUCCUUCACAAUGGACACCCCCAUGCUUCAGAGAUGCUUCCCUGAAUAGCCAAGCGGCACGCAUCUGCUUCUUCACCAAUCGCUCAGCGUAAUCAGGAACUUUGUUUUGCUUCAGGGAUAAGUCAGGAUCGUUUGACUGAGAGCACUCGUUUAUGAAAAGGAUUGCAUCCAACAAGCUCUCCUUUGCAAAACCAAGCAUAUCAUACGCUUGAGCUCUUCUCCACAAACUCUUGGCAUGACGAUUCACAGGGCUAUGAAGGCACAAUGCUCGAGUAGCAUCGCUUAUGGCGGCCAAUGGCUGCUGCAGGAGAAGGUAACACUGAGCUCGAUUGCUGUAAAGCACCACCCGCUCUUUCUUAGACUUCAUUGGACAUAGUGCAAGUGCUUCAGAGUAUUUCUCUGCAGCUCCUGCAAUAUUCCCUGAAGAGAACAGAGAAUUGCCUUCCAACUUCACAACCAAUGCUGCAGCUUGUUUUAUAUGAAGAUCCUCCCUCGGCAUACUCUUUUCCAAUUUCAAACUUUGCUUGGAUCUCAAGAGCUCGUCAAUUUCUGAUUUGGUCUGAGUGCGAAUUGUACUGCGUGAGUUCCCACUCUGUUGCAUACAUUCUUGGAGGACUGUGACAAUUGUGUCACCAAGCCUUUUAUAAUCACCAAGUGUCGAAAUAUUUGUUAAAUCUAUCAAUGUUGGUGCAACUUUAUCUAUAACCUGCACAAAGAGAAGAAAAUUAAGUGACCACAGCUAACAAAACUACAGUUAACAGCUAGUUGCUGUCUGCAUUCAAGACCAAAUUAGAAGAAAAAAAGCAUAAAUACAUUUUUUAGCACAAUGCGCUUUCAGCAAAUCAUCAUGCAUAAUAAUCCUGAACCAUCUAACCAGAAAGAGGAAUAACAAUCCAAGCUGGUUUUUAAAAGAUUGUAUAGAUACUCUUAUUUCCUCUUUAUGAGGAACUCUGCUAUUUCUAUUUGUCUCUAGUCAUCAUUUCUAAGCCGCUGUGCAUAGUUGUCAUCUUAGGCCUUAAACAUAACCUGUACAUAUUAACCUACAUAAAGGGAAUAUACUAUGACAGUAUGACUAAGCAAAAUGUAUUUCACAAGAUCUUACCAUAUGACAAGUAUUUGCAUCCUGCACUAGCCAAAUCAGACAAUCAACUGCCAUGUAUUGCCAGUCAUCUGAAGAACGAGCAAUGUUGCAUAAAGCAUCGAUGGUACCAGGAAUGUUAGCAACAUGACCUCGACCAACCUUGUUCUGGCAUAUUGUUCUUAGCAAACCAACACCAGCAGGUGAGUUUUCAUUCACAAGUCCACCCCACAUUCCAGGUAACUUGUUAAGAAAAUCAGCCUUGCAAAUAUCAUGGAGGAAUUCAGGUUUAAAUGCAAAGCAAUUAAUGAGUUGCAAAGACCAGCACUGCAGUUGACUUGCCCAUUCCUCAGCUUUGCGGGAUUCCAUUUCCACACCACCCAUGCCACGAGUAAGAAGAUCGCAAUGAUAGCCAAGUCUUCGAUCCACAAAUUGGUAAAAGUGAGAGUACACAAUCUCUAAGGAGCUCGAAGCAAGUUGAAUGGCAAGUUCAAGCACUUCUCCAUGCUCAGCAACCGCGGGAAAUGUACUAGGAUAUGUAGCCAAAUGCCCCAAAGCUCUAACAGCAACCCGUUGCUCCACCCAAGUCAGCCUACCUCUUAGAAGUUCAACUAAUGGAGGUAUUACACCGGCACGAACAGCACGUUCUGCAAAUUCCUCCACAUUCAUCGUAUAGGAUCCAAUUAUGUGAGCUGCAUAAUAUGGGAUGUAAAUAUUCUGAUCAUGUGCAAGCCAGCGCCUGUUUUUCAACCCUUUCCAUAUAAGAGCUGCCAUGCAUUCAAAUAUGCCCAAGUUGAUGAACUCAGGAUCAUUUGGGUGAGCCAUUGCAGUGUUCCAGAGGCCGCUAAUAGGGAGAACUUGACCAUCAUCAUCUUGAGAAGGAAGUUCCCUAAAAAACUUAAGCACACUUGCUCUUCGUUUACUAGGGUUUGCCUCCUUCAUAACACAGAAGAAACAUCCAGGAUAAGGGCAAUCAGAUUGUAUCUUGUCCAUUAUGAGAGCCAAUUGAUCCUAUCAGCUUCCUUAAUCAGAACAUCAACAACCGUACUUCAAACUGCAUCAGAACAAAUUAUGAGCAGAUGUUAACAAUAUUCUCCAAUGAGCAAAGUGAAGGGCGACCGGGCACAUUAUCAAUGUAAGAAAGUAAUUUAACAAUCGGCAAACAGCUAUUAAAUUUUGAUAACACAUCUUCUUCCCCCUAAUGUUCUGAUAACUUGGGAAUGUCAGACUAUUGAAAUCUGGUGGGUACAUAGCCAGCUCUGGCAACCAAUGGGAAUGGGAUUGGGAGCAAGACAAGCAACUUCAGCAAAAUCAAGCAAGACACGCUGAGGAACAAGCAGUAGAGACUUCAAUGACUCAAUGCCCAUGACAAACUACGGAAAAGUGAAUGAUCGAGUCUAACUUGUGCCUAGUGCAGCUACUGUACAAACAAUGGUUGUCUGGUUCAAGUUCUUAAAGAAGUAAGAAUUUUUAACAACUAAACCAUGAGUAAAUGCAUUUAUAGAACUGACUUAACCUCAACAAAAUCAUAUCAAUUCAAUAGGUCUUAUUGAUUUCAGGAACAUGAAAACUGGGAAGUGAAUCACCACUCAAUAAAGACAUACACCGACUGAAAACAACUGAAGUUUCUACUAGAAGGCACAUAACUCACUGCUUUGUUGGAUUACAGAAAUAGUUUCGAAGUUCACCAAUCAGCUGUCUUGCUACUCUUUUCUAGCCUAAUUUGCUUGAGUGGAUCUCGGUUUUGUUCCCUGGGGUUGAUACAGAAGUCUCCUUCGCACGAAUUAACUCACAGAGUGUCACCAGCAGAAAUCUUAAUUGAUUGACUCCCAUACCCCCAAAACUUCUCAUUAUCCUUCCCCCAUUUCAAAUUGCAUCUAGGAUAGACAGAGUACCAAUUGAACAGUGAGCUUUCAGCUCACAUUUUGAGCUUACAUCCGGAAAUUUGAACUCGCAACUCAAUUUUUUUCAAAAAAUCGCGACGAGAGGCUCGACUCGAACUCCCAGCUACGAGCACGAGCUCCGAAUUGGUUACCACGAGAGCUUGCAGCAGGAGAUUUAAAAAAAUCUGGGCCGUAAUUCGAACCUCAACUCCCAAUCUGAGCUCUCCGCACCUCAAUAUGGCCUGAAUUACUCUGGUUAUAGAAAUGGCACCUUACCAGCACACUCCAACGUGGUGGGCCGCCGUCGGACGGCAAUGGCGGCCGCCGGCUCGCGCAGCCCCCGCUCGGCUCGGCUCGGCUCGGCGCGGCGCGGGGUGGUGCUGGUGCUGCCGGGGCAGCGAGGCGGCCGAGCUAGGUAGGGUUCGGGGAGGGGCGGAGGGGCGGCGGGCCGUGGGAGUGGCCGAGUGGGGGAGAGCCGGAGAGGGGAUUGGGGCGGACCGGCGGAUCUCCUCCUCUACGAGAGACCACGGCAGCGGCGGCGAGGAGGGCGUGCGUGCAUGCGGGUGAGCGGGGCGGAAUGGGGAGGACGGGGGGCGUGACGCGCGAGGCCUUGAGCGCGACGGGCGGACGGGACGGGCCGUGCGGUGCGGGUGGAGUCAGACUCGAUGUUGCGGCCCCGCCCCGCGGAGGUGGGGCUCCCGAGCUCCCAUCCCGCGUGCGUGCGCCCAUCGACGGCCGCGAUAGGGUUCGCGCCCGCGGGCCACCACACGCCGUGCCCGGCGCGGUGGUCGACGCGUCCGUCCGUCCGGCCACGUGACGUGCCAGCUCCGUGCACCGUGCUAGGCGCGCGACGGGCGGGGCCUCGCCACCCAACCACCGGUGCGGUCCUUUAUCCAAAAAAAAAAAAAAACCACCGGUGCGGGGUGUCCCUCAUGGGUGGCUCAGGGUCCCCUCCCCCAGGUCCCGCCCC